rnacentral:lncRNA from 1 species
AAGACUCUACAGUUUGUCAAAGAAAAGAGAAAGCUCAUUCCUAAGGAAGUUAAAUUAUUCCAAACCAGGUUGAGAAACUUUAAAUUUCUUAGAUUGCCCAGAUUAUCAGGAAUGGACCCUGAAAAGUAAUUAUUAGACAUGUCAAGACGAGUAAGCUGAGAGGCAUUGGAAAUAGACAUUGGGAUCGAGCCGACAAGUUGAUUGACAUCAAGAUAUAAUUCCUCCAUGUUUGGAAGGAAAAGGCCCAUGUUUGAUGGAAGAUGGCCAGAGAGCUGAUUUGUCUCCAAAGAAAUCACCCUUAGAGUUGAAAUAUUAAAUACUUGUGGAGGAAUAGAACCAGCAAUAUUGUUAUGUUCCAAAUUCAACAAUUCUAGAUUCUUUAGGUUGCCAAUCUCACGUGGUAUUAUACCUGCCAUAAAUUUUAUCAAAUAGAAUUAGACAAAUAUGAGGAAGAAAAUAGUUUAUAUAUAUGAAACAUAAUUUGCUUAUCUUUUUUAUAAUGUGUACAAUUAUAAGCAAUUAGUGUAUCAAAUAUGAAUCAACAAUAUUUACAAAAAAAAUUAAUUCACAAUAAAAUUGUUUUUAUAGAGCUCUUGCAAAUAUUAAAGUACUUCAAGUAAUUUUAAAUUGAAGUUUUUAGGUUUAAAGUUGGAAUAAGUUCAAAAUGAGAAGGGAUUGUAUGAAAUUGCGAUUCUACAUCAUCUUUAUCCCUUAUUAAUAGGAGAAUGACAAAUCAGAUUUUUCCUCUUAAUUUUUAGCUUUUUCUUCUUGAAAAAAAAUUAAAAUCCAACUAAAAAGUUAAAAAUCAAGAGGAAAAAUCUGAUUUAUCAUUCUCUUAUCGAAAAGGGAUAGAGAUUACGUGGAAUCACAGUUUAAUAUAAUCACUUCUCGUUCAAGAUAUAGAAAAUAAUGAUGAAAUAAAUGAUAAAGAACAAACAUUCAUAAGUCAAAUAAAAUAAUUAAGAACAUAAUGAUGAAUUAAAUUUGUUUUCCUUUUAUCUGAUUUGAUAAAUUUAAAAAUUUUAAGAACAUAAAAAUAAAUCAAAUAUGAUUUUUGGUUCCUUGGAGUUUUGUUUGGGGCAAAUCACCAAUAAAAGCCGUUUUUUUUUAAAUUUACCGAAAUGGGCCGAUUUUUUUAUUAUUUAUCGGAAUGGGCCGUUUUCCGCGAAAUCGCGUCCACGUCAGCGCGAUGUCAGGGUACGUGUCAGGACAUCGCGUCCACGUCAGCGCGAUUUGCUGACGUGGAAGGAAAUCGCGCCCUCUAGGACGCGAUUUGCUGACGUGGCAUGAACAGUUUGUGUUUUUAGCUUGGAAAACUUUGAAAGGCCAUAACUUUUUGCUCGGUUGUCCGAUUGAGACGAUUUUUUUUAUUUCGAAUAACUUUUUGAGAUCUACGCGCUGGCAAAUAGCCGAAGGCGGUUUGCCGAAGUUUUCGUCAAAAAAGAUCAUUUUUUGCCCCUAAAUUUUGAUUUUUUCGGUUUAAAAUUGAAUUUUGAAACAUUCAAAUCGUUAUUUUCCUCAUUUAUUUAAAGUAAACACCGGAUCUUUUUUUACAGAAUCGUUGUAUUAUUUUUUCUGAUUUGACACGUGUAUGGAAUAGGUCCGAUAAAUCGUUAGAACGUAAGUAAUAUAAUUAAGAUAAUAGCAGUAUUUCUAUAAUAUGUCAAUUAAUUAGUUUGGCUUAGUUGGUUAAGAUGCUUGCUCCUUUCUUUUAAUACAUUGGUUCGAAUCUUAUUGGUAACAAUUUUGAAUCUUUUUUGUACUUAUUGCAUUUAACCAACUAAGUCAAACUAACCAACUAAGUUUGAUAUUAUUGACAAAGCAUGGAAAUGAUGUUAUAGUAGAGUUUUCUUAUACAAGGUCUUAUGUUCGAUCGGAAAUAUUAUAGAGAAAGGGAAUAAGGGAGUUAUAAACUUAGUAAUCAACAUCUUGCACCAAAACAGUUUUGGACAGCAGCAGUAGGUUAACUUUGAAAAAUCACCAUAAAUUGUGAAAAUCGAAUUAGAGGAUGAACAAAAUAUGGAAUUAAAUCUUAUUGAGUCUAGUUUCUCAUAAAAGAAACAGUGUAAGUAAUGGAAUUGUAAAUCAUUAGAUAUAAUAAAUUUUGUGAGACAAGUUCAGAAUGAAUUCGGGUUCCCCUGUUCUGACUUUGGAAAAUCAUAAAAAUUUGGAUAAAAAUGAUUAGGGGUUAAAAUUUACAUGUUUAAAUUAUUAAUGAGUCUAUUUUCAAUAGAAACAAAGAGAAAUAUCAUCCAAAUUUGUACUAAGAGAUAAUUAAUUUUUAGUGAAGAAGGGUUAAAACUGUCAGAUAGAAGAAUAGGGAUGACUUUAAAGAAUAAACUGUACUUAUUUGCUAAACCAAAAAUUAUGAAAAUUUUAUGGUAAGAAGAUAUGUGAGCGUAGUUUCAGAGAAAAUUAGCGGAUCUUAAUUCGGAAUUCUGUAGCUUAAGAUAUAAUUAAUUUAGUGACUAUGACUCAAGUGAACAGCUUGUUAUGAAUAAACAAGUAAAUAGUAUUAUUAUGUAUAUAUCAAGGAUGUGGAAUGGAGAGGAGGAAAAUAUAUGAAUAUUUUGCUAGCAUGGGUUUGCAUUAAAAAUAGUUAAUUUGCAUGAUUUGGACUCAUGGACUAAAUAGAAUAAAAGUAAAAUUUUAGGGGCAAUUUUGUAAAAAUAUCAAAAAUAUCAAAUUGCAUAAAAUGAAUUGUUUUAUUAUUUAAAUUAAUAAAUUGAAUGAAAUAUUAAUUUUAAUCAAGAUCGGGUAGAAAAUCUAGGAAAAUAGAAUGUAAUCACUGAAUUUUGUCCGGGACGAAUUUGCGUUUUUAAAAAAAAUUGCAUUUUAGCCCCCAAAUUUUUCAAAAAUUAUAUUUUAACCCUUAGGCUUUUCUAAAUUUACAUCUUGACCCCUAAUAUUUUAUAAAUUACAUUUAGACCCCUAAUAUUUCUAAAAAUUAUAUUUUGGCCCCAUAUUUUUCUAAAAUUGCACUUUUACCCCAGAAAUUUUGCAACUUCUGCAGUUUGGUCCUUCUGGACAUGUCAAAUCAGCCAAUCGGCAGUUGAGCGUCUACAAGACCUCUGUGCGGACGUCUACGGGAGCAACUCCUUUCUCCUUGGUCUACAGGAUGGAAGCCGUUUUGCCUAUUGAAGUAGAGAUCCCAUCUUUGUGAGCUUUAUGGAGACAAAACUAGAAUAAUCGGAAUGGGUUCGAGCUCGAUAUGACCAGCUAAACCUUAUUGAAGGAAAGCGCUUGAAGGCAAUUUGUCACGGACAGAUGUACCAGAAGAGAAUGAUCACGGCCCAUGAUAAAAAGGUGCGACCAAGAGAAUUUCGCGAAGGAGAGCUAGUACUAAGAAAGAUCCUCCCGAUACAGAAAGACUUUCGAGGAAAAUGGUCACCAAAUUGGGAAGGGCCAUACGUUGUUAAAAAGGCAUUCUCAGGGGGGCUCUGAUUCUCACUGAGAUGGAUGGGAAAGAAUUACCUAAUCCAGUAAACACAGAUGCUGUGAAGAAAUAUUAUGCCUAAAAAAAACAAAAACAAAAACAAAAACAAAAACAAAAACAAAAACAAAAACAAAAACAAAAACAAAAGAAAAAAAGAAAAAGAAAAAUCAAGAUGAAAACCCGAAAAGGGCGUCUUGAUAAACAAAAAGGAUUAGGAUGAAAACCCAAAAGGGCGUCCUAAUGAAAUGGGUUCGGGCUUAAAGGAGCAAAGUGAUUUGAACGGGGAGUUGAAUGACGAAGUCGCAAUAUUUGAAGCAUUCUCAGAAGCUCGAAAUCUUCUACACAGAAAGCCAUGCUCGAAAAGAUCCUUGACGAAGAAACGUGGAAAAGUUCAUGUGUUGGAUAUCCAGAGCAUUCAUGACCAUUGAAUUCACUUUCCGUUCUUUUUUAUACUUUCUUUCUUUGAACUAUUCCUUGUCAAUAUUCUUCGUUUGUUGCUUUUGAAAAAAACUAAAUGUGAGGUAUUUCUUGUAUGCCUACUUUGCCAUUUCUUCAUGCAUAUCGUGUUUGAAUCAUUUAAAUGAUAAAUAGUAAGAUGACAUACUCUAAACAAAAGGAAUGUUGAACAUUACCUGGAUGAGAAUUUGACAAGUACAAGGGCCCCAAAACAGGAACAAAGUUCAAUAAGGGGGCAAGAGGGUGAUAUACGAAAAAAUGUGGGUUACUCACCAAACUUGAAGAUGAGUACAAAACUUGAGAGAAAAGUCAAAGAUUGAAGCAAUGAAUGCAAUCUCUCACGAAAAAGGGGGCAUGUGAGAAACAGCCCAGGGGGUAUGGCAUGAUCAUGUAGGCAUAAAAGUAUUUAGGACAAACACGUCCAUAUCAUGAUAACAUUGUACAUGACAUAUAUAGGUAUCCCAGUAGAGCAAGGAAUACUGGGAGAAAGUUGCACAGAAUCAGUGAAGAAAAAGACUUCUAGUUUCAACUGAUGUUUUUUGAAACCCUGUUUCUUUCAAGAAAUAUUUUUCAAUUUCUAUUUUUUUAAUAAAAUCAACUCAUAAUGCGAGAAGUGAGUUGAGCCUCAGGCACACGCUGAGGUAUUUUUUAAAUUUCUAUUUUUUCAAAAAUCAACUCAUAUUGCGAGAGGUGAGUUGAGCCUCGGGUCAAAUGCCGAGGUAUUUCUUUUAAAUUUCUGUUUUUCAAAAAAUCAACUCAUAUUGCGAGAUGUGAGUUGAGCCUCGGACACACGCCGAGGUAUUUUUUAAUUUCUAUUUUUUGAAAAGUCAACUCAUAUUGCGAGAGGUGAGUUGAGCCUCGGGUCACAUCCUGAGGUAUUUUUCAAUUUCUAUUUUUUUCAAAAAAAAUCAACUCAUAUUGCGAGAGGUGAGUUGAGCCUCGGGUCACAUCCUGAGGUAUUUGUUAAAUUUCUGUUUUCAAAAAAUCAACUCAUAUUGCGAGAGGUGAGUUAAGCCUCGGGUCACAUCCUGAGGUAUUUUUCAAUUUCUAUUUUUCGGAAAAAAUCAACUCAUAUUGCGAGAGGUGAGUUGAGCCUCGGGUCACAUCCUGAGGUAUUUUUUUAAUUUCUAUUUUUUUUUCAAAAAUCAACUCAUAUUGCGAGAGGUGAGUUGAGCCUCAGGUCACAUGCCGAGGUAUUUCUUUUGAAUUUUUAUUUUUAAUUUUUUUAAAAAAAAUCAACUCAUAUUGCGAGAAAUGAGUUGAGCCUCGAGGCGCAUGCCGAGGUAUUUCUUUUAAAUUUCUAUUUUUUAAAAAUCAACUCAUAUUGUGAGAGGUGAGUUGAGCAUCGGGUCACACAUCAAGGUAUUUUCCAAUUUCUGUUUUUCAAAAAAAAAACUCAUAAUGCGAGAGGUGAGUUGAGCUUCGGGUCGCACGCUGAGCUUUUCUCAAUUUCUAUUUUUCAAAUAAAAAGAAAAUUUUGGACAGUCGAACAAAAUUCAGUGCUUUUAAGUCUUUGCUCUAUCUCUGUUUCACAGUGAUGAGCAAAGAGGGGCAGCUGUAAUCACUGAAUUUUGUCCGGGACGAAUUUGCGUUUUUAAAAAAAUUUACAUUUUAGCCCCUAAUUUUUUCAAAAAUUACAUUUUGACCCCUAGAUUUUUCUAAAUUUACAUCUUAACCCCUAAUAUUUUAUAAAUUACAUUUAAACCCCUAAAAUUUCUAAAAAUUAUAUUUUGGCACCAUAUUUUUCUAAAAUUGCACUUUUACCCUAGAAAUUUUACAACUUCUACAAUUUGGUCCUUCUGGACAUGUCAAAUUAGCCAAUCGGCAGCCGAGCAUGCUCCACCCACCUCCAGCUACUCCAGCAGCCUCCCUAGGCCAUGAUUGCUCCACUACCACCUGAAAACAAAGAAGAAGAAGACAAAUCAAUGAGAUUAAAAAGAAGCAAAUGAGAGAAAGAGGGGGAUUCGGUUUUGGGCAGCCAAAAAAGAAAAAAAUAACAGAGAAAUUUCAAGAAAACAACACUCAAAUUCGGCCGCUCCUUCACCAUCACUGUGCCCACCGCCGCACCAUUUCUUUCCCUCCACCACCAUUACCUACAACCCAAUUCGGCAGCCAAGCAAACAAGCAAAAAAGAAAAAAAAACAAAUUUUGAGAAAAAAGAGAGAGCAAAAACAGUAACAAAAAAGGGGCACCGCCGCCGUCGUGCUCGCGCCGCUGUACCCACCAUCGCACUCGCACUGCCCCGAUACCUAGCAAGACAACCAAUAGGCAAGAAAAAAGAAAAAAAGUAAGCAAAAAGAAAAAAAAGAAGAAAAAAAAAAGCAAAGAAGAAAAAAAGAAAAAGGGGGAAAGGGAAGACCACCGUGCGCGCCACCGUCGGCCGCCGGUGGGAAGUAGGUCGCCGUCGACGAGAGCAACAAGAGGGGGUUGAUCGGGGAAGAAAGAAAGGAAGAAAAAGAAGAAAGAAAGAAGAAAAAAGAAAGGAGAAAGAAAGAAGAAAAAAAAGGAAAAAGAAAACAAUUUUUUUAAAAUCGGGCCGAACCGACCCGAAUCUGGCUCGACCCGACUGACCCGUGACCAGACCCGGCAGUAGUUAGCAGGCCCAACAGUAGCAGAUCAGCCCCCCAAAAAAACAAAACAAAAUAGCAGCAGCAAAAAAAUAGCAGUAAAAAAAUAGCAGGCCUUUCCAGCAGCCCAAGCGCAAGCCCAAUUGCAGCAGCCAACCAGCAGGCCUCCAGGCCAGCAUGCACCAGCCCAGCAGGCCCAAGAGAAGCAGGCCAGAAAAAGAGAAGGAAAAAAGAGAAAAAAAAAGAAAAAAAGGAAAAAAGAAAAAAGGUUCAAUUUGUGUAACCCGUUCGACGUAGCUCGUGUUUCGGGAUCUUUUCGGUAAUUUCGUUUAUUUCACUUUUAAUUUCAUGCUCGUAUUUUUAUGUUAUUUAGUUUUAAUAUUAUUAGCAUUUUAUGCAUUUUUAUAUUUUUAAUUUAAUUUAAUUCCAUUCUAUUUUAAUUUUAUUUUAAAUAAUUUUAAUAAAUAAGGCAACGAAUCGGUUUAACAUAAAAUCGUUGAUUUCAUCGCUAUGUUGGGUGAAUAUCACUGGUUUGCGUUAAACUCGAUACGUCCUUUUAAAACCAAAAGUAUUCAAAAAAUUUCAUGUUUUCGAAAAAAUUCCUGUGUUUCGAAAUUUUCGUGUCUUCAAAUAUUUUUCUCGUGUUUCAAAAAAUAUUCGUGUUUUCAAAAAUAAGGCAACGAUUCGAUUUGACACUAAUUCGUUGAUUUCAUUGCUAUGUUGAGUGAAUAUCACCGGUUCUUGUUAAUACGAUACAUGCUUAAUAAAAAUAAAAAAAUUUGUGUAAUAAAAAAAAAAAUCUUUCCGUGGUUUCAAAAAUAAUCGUGUUUUCACAAAAUAAAAAAAAAAGAUUCCGUUCUUCAAAAUUCUAAUGUUUUCAAAAAAUUCUAUUUUUAAAAAAUUUUCGUGUUUUCAAAAAAAAUAAAUAUAAUUGUUUCAAAAAUCUUCGUGUUUAAAAAUAAAAAUCUCGUAUUUCAAUCGGAUCACGAUUAAAUAUUAAAUUGAACUCGUAUUUUUGAAAAUUAAGACAACAUGCGUUUAACGAGAUACCAAUUUUGGGCGUCGCGAGGGUGCUAAUACCUUCCUCGCUCGUAACCGACUCCCGAACUCAAAUUUUCUCUGGAUUUUUAGACCUAAAAUUACCUCUUUUUUAGAAAAGUUUAAAAAUAAUUUUUUCUUCUAAAAAGAGAAUUUUGUAGGUGUCCGAUCACACCUAAAGAAAAGAUCGAUGGCGACUCCUUUUUUAAAAAAAUCGAGAUUCUGUUUUCAAAUUUGCAAUAAUUACUUCGACUAGCGCACGUGCCCAAAUUUUUUGGUCGCUACAUAGAAAAUUACCAAAAUGCCCCUAUAUUUUUGUAUUUCUGUAAAUUUAGCCUGGUAAGUUCGUGUAACCUGAAUUAUAUUCUUAAAUGCUUGAAAUAUAUGUUAUUGAUGUGAAUAUGAUUUAAUUGUUCAUUGUAUGAAAAUUGAUGAAACAUUGAUAUAUUUGAUAAAAAGGGAAGAAAUCCCGGUUGAAUGAAAGGAAAAUUCGAUGGAUCUUUAAAAAAGAAUUGACUGUAAAAAGGAUCUAGCCCGGACGGGUGAUCUUAUCCUGAUAUAGCCCUCCUGAAGAAUAUAUGUAAAAUGGAUUUAGCCCGGACGGGUAAUCCGAAUUAGGGUCUCAAUUUAGCCUGGACCUGUAAUUCAGAUCCAAGCUCAUUAGAGUAAAUUGUCGUUGUAGGGGAUUUAGCCUGGACUGGUAAUCCCAACAAUACUCUUUGAGUUUAUAUUACAAGGAAUUUAGCAUGGACUGGUAAUCCCGUUUUAAGGAUGAGGUUCGCAGGAGUGUGCUCUCUGAAAUAGAAAUGUACGCACAUGAAGAAUAUGAAUUGACGAAUAAGACCAUAACUAGGUUAUGGCACUAUGAACAUAAGACCAUGGUUGGACCAUAGCAGUGUUUAUAUGUAAGACCAUAGGUGGGCUAUGGCAUUCUGACGAUAAGACCAUAACUGGGUUAUGGCACUACGAAUUGUAAAGGAUGAAUUGACGGCAAAUUACCCAAGUAAACCGAGGUUCAGCAUUCGUUGCGAACUUUCGUGUUUACUAUCUGUUUAGAUCAAUCUUUUGCAACGAAGAUAUAUUAAAGAUGGAGGAGGGUAUUGAACCUGAAAUCCGGUUUUUAGACAAGACCAAGAUCUGUAGCUUUGACAAAUAGCCUAAAGAGAAUGGAAUAGCACCUUUGAAGUUGUUGUGGUACAAAAACAAUCUUCGAAGUGCACCAUGAUGGGAUUUCUCCACUGAAGGAGUUGUUACCAAAGCUUAAAUAUUUUAGCAGAUGCAAAUUGGAUAACUGGACAGGUAAUCUGCCGUAGAAACUAUAUUACCUGUCCAGUUAUCAAUUUGCAUCGGCUGGAAUAUUUAAGCUUUGGUAACAACUCCAAUUUCCCAAGUGAGGUGGAAGGGUGCCUACGAGUCCCAACCCAGUAAGGUUUAGAGCUGUGACUCUACGGUGCUUGGAUCCACAACUUACACCAAACCAAUUGCAAACAGGGGCAGAGGUUGACCAAUUAGUUGUCAAGACAUUUUUAGGAUCAUGAAUAACAUGAUCUUUUAAUGCUAGAAGAGCUGAUUGAUCUGUAAGUAUGGUGGUUAAUAAAAAAAUGGAAGAUGAUAAGAAGAGCUAAGUUGAGGAAAGUAUUCCCCAUUUGAAUUUGGGUGUUUAUCAAGCUACCAACAAAGAGUACAGAACUGAGAUUGGUAGACAGAUAAUUGAAUGACCACACAACUUCUUUUACAUAAUAUGUGUGUAUAUAUAAAGGGAGUUUAUAUUGCAAUUUCUUCUUGCAAGAAUGCAAAUGCUUUGAAUAAAAAAGAUAUAGGUAAACUACCAAAAUAGUCACUUUUGUUUGGCUCAGGUUACAUUUUAGUCGCUUAUGUUUGAAAUGUUACGUUUUAGUCACUUAUGUUAUCACGUUGUAACAUUUUAGUCACUGAGCCGUUAGUUUCUGUUACCGGUGUAACAGUAAACUAAUGUGGCACGUUAAAUCAUCAUUUCAAACAAAAAUUCUAGGUUAAUUUAUACAAUCGAUCUCCAUAUUUUUUUCGUUUGGAGCAAUUUAAUUUUUUUCUUUUAUGUUUUUAUAACUUUCUUUCUUUUUCAUUCUCUUAUGCUUCUCCUUUUGUUUUCCUCCCUUCUCCAUUUCUUUCAACGUAGUUUUUCUAUGUUUUAUUUUUUUGAACAAUUUAAUUUUUUCGAGUGAGGCGAGCUUGUGGACUAGUUACAAAUGGAAAGCAUAGAAAAACUAUGUUAAAAGAAAUGAAGAAUGAGGAAAAUAGAGGGCGAAGCAUAAGAGAAUGGAAAAAAAAAGUUAAAAGAACAUAAAAGAAAAUUUAUAAAUUGUUGAAAAUAAAAAAAUAUAGGGACCAAUUGUAGAAUUUAACCUAAAAUUUUUGUUUGAAAUGAUAAUUUAACGUGCCACAUCAACUUGCCGUUACACCAUUGUCGACAAUUAACGACUCAGUGACUAAAAUGUUACAACACGAUAACGUAAGUGACUAAAACGUAACAUUUCAAACAUAAGUGACUAAAAUGUAACAUAAGGCAAACAAAAGUGACAAUUUUGAUAGUUUACCCAAAAGAUAUUGACUAAAAAUUAAAACAAACCAUGAAAUUUCUUUAAGGUUGAAAGAUUUUAUUUAAUUUUUUUUUGGAAUAAUAUUUUUUUUGGUCUUUUAUUUAUUUUUUAUUAUUUUAAUCUUUAAAUUUACGUUAUUUGUUAAAUUACCCCAAAAUGGAUGGAAAAGUUAACUUUUAUUAAUUUUGCUGAUGUGGCAUACAUAUGGAUUGUCACGCGAAUGCCAAGUUAGCAAUUAAUUAUUUUUUUAAAUUUAAAAAAUAAAAAUUAUUAAAUUAUUUUAAAAAUUAUUAAAUUUUUUAGAAUAUGUAAAAGUAUAAUUAAUUGCUAACGUGACAAUCCACAUGUAUGUCACAUCAGCAAAAUUAACAAAUACUAACUUUUUCAUCUAUUUUAAGUGAUUUGAUAAAUAAUACAAGUUCAAAAGUUAAAAAGAGAUGAAUAAUUAAAUAGAGAGCUAAAAUAUAAAGUCUUUCCACUUUGUCGAUUUAGAAGUGAUUGUAAAAUUUAUAUUAUUUAAAUAGAAAAUAAUCUUCUAGUUAUUAAUUAAAAUAUAAUUUAUUUAAUUUAUUUAAUUAAUUAAAUUAAUUUUUAAUUAAAUAUUUUUCUCAAUCCAAUUUUAAUUUCGUUACAGUAAUGACUAAUUAAUUUUAAUUAAAUAUUUAAUUUUUUUUAUACCGGAUAAGUAAUGACUAAUUAAUUUAAUCUCAAUUUUAAACUUUAAUUAUUUAAUUAUAAUUAAUUAAAUAAUAAUUUUAAAAAUCUUAAAGUAAUUCUGAAGUCAUUUCCAUUCAUUUUUGUUCAUUUCUAUCCAUUUAAUUUUACAUACAAUUUAUUUUUUAUUUCAACGAGCUAACUAUUUAGUAACUAUAAAAUACAAUGUAGAGAUCAAUAUGGAAAUAUAAAUUUUAAAUUUUAAAUAUUUUUUGUUAUAUAAAUUUUUAUUUGAAGUAUGAAACGUUAUUUUCUUAGCAAAGAGACUAGUGUUGGGAACAUAUCCACGCACUAAUUUUUCAUGACUGUUCUAUAAAAAUAGUCACUCAAUUAUUAUCAUAUUUUUAUUUUGGUCACUCGAGUUUAAAAUUUUUUAUUUUAGUCACUAAUGUUAUCAAAAUUUAAUAUUUUGGUCAUUCUUCCAUUAAAUCACUAAUAGUGGUCCUUUUUUAUUGGAAUCAUAAAAAAUUUAACCCUCCAAUAUUUAUAGAUUCCAUCAAUUUAGCCCUAAAUCUAAAAAAUUCAACAUUUAUAUUAAUAUUGAUAGAUUCUAUAAAUAUUAAUAAAUCAUUUUUAAUGAAUUUUAUAUUUUUGAAAUUAUUGUAAUUUUAAUCUAGUUUAGCUAACUCGAGUGUUAAUUUUUGAAACUGAUAAAAUUUCUAAAUGUUACUAUUGAUGAAUAAUUGAUGAAAUUAGUAUUACUUGAUUAGAAUUUUCUACUUAGAUAUGAAAAAGGAUUAAUUAUCAAUUAUCAAUUCCAAAUAAAAAAUUUAUUGAUAUUUUCUAUUAUGAAAACCCAUUCUCAAUGUGUUGCAUCGUUGAACAAGUAAUUUUUACUUCUAUUGUGGCAAAUUCAACGAAGGGAGUUAUCUUCUUAUUUCUACCAUAAAAAGUUUCUCAAUAUAUUUCAUUGGGUGAAAAUUUUGAGUUAGAUAAUUAGAGUGCUUCAAAAUCUCAUGGCAAUCGACAAAUUAUGUGAAUGUGUGUGAAAAUAGGAAGGAUAUUAAUCUUAAGCAAACAAAAGUUUAGAUGACAAUUCCCAUGAUACUCGUUGGAUAAUUCGGUCAUCUUUUUUAUGGAAUGUAAACUUUUCUAAAUGAUAAGGAAAGGAAAGCUUGGGCAAUUCAAUUUAAGUAGUUCACCUCUAAUUCCCCAUCUCCACUACUUUAGUAUACUUCAAUCAAUAAUUUCCCAAAUUACUAUAAGAAUUAAUACCUUUCAAGGAGAAGGUAUAACAUUUACAACAACACUGUCUUUUUCUUAAAGGCUUAGAUAUAACCUUUCCCUCUAGCUUUUAUAGUUGUUAUAUAGUCGUUGGGAAGUCAUGUCUCAAGACAAUUUAUCAAUUGUCUCUAGACACACUGCACAAUAUCUCAAGACAAGCAGCUCUUAUCAAUCGAUACAAGCCAGUAUGAACUUGUAUAAGUUAGUAUUGACUGAAACGAGCUGAAACAUACUGGAAUGGUCGAAACACAUCAAAAUCUUAACCAUAAUGGAAUCUAUACUACUUCAGAUUGGUUGAAGACCAGAAAGAUACAUAUCGAGUGUGUUAAAUGUUGAUGCCCCUUUUAUGUACUGUUUUAUAUUUUUGUUCUUUUAAUAAGAUUUGUUUGGCUUAUAAAAAUUAUUUUUAUUAAAAUAAAAUAACUGAAAACCUUAUGCAAAGACUGAAAAAAGAGAUCAAAAUUUGCUAUGUUUUGAUAUUGGACAUUUAAUAAUUUGUACCUAUAUUCUUAAAAAAAAAUUGUACCAAUACAAUUUCAUAAAAUUAGUACAAAUGAUCAUCAAAAUUCAGCAUAACUUUUUUGAACCUAAAUAUAUUGCUAAUUGAUAUAAUUGGGAACGGUUAUGCAGUUGAUAAUAAUCUUUUUGGACUUCGUUUAAUAUAUGAUUUAUGCAAGUAAUAUUGGCAACUCAAGUUUCGGCAUGUCUUACGAGAACAUAAUACACUGACAGAUUGCAUGAACAAAGAUGUUCUUAGUAAUUUUAAUAGGUUAACAACUUUUGAAGACCCAGCUGGUCAUGCUCAAUCUUUGUUAGAAAAAGAUGUUCAUCGAGCAAUGAUUAAUAUAGAUUCCUAUUAACCUAAUUGUAGCUAAUUCCUUGAACUUGUUUCUUUUUUUAAAAAAAUGCACAAAAUGCAGAAAUAACUAUUAAUAAACUUUAUAGGAAAACAGAGCAUCUGUAUAAAUAUUUAUCAAAGAUAUUGCUAGAAAGCAAAGUUUAUGUUUAUUUUAGUCAAUUUAACAAUGGCCUCUUCAUCGAACGCGUUGCAUAUCCCUUGAUAACUUUACUUUGAUCUUCUUUAACUAUGUAACAACCUCUUUCAUAUGAAGCCUCUCAUUUGGUAACUCUGCAGAACAUUCUAAGCCAACUUGCAAAAUGGAUAAGGCACAAUUCUUGACUUUUAAAUGUUCCCUUCCAAUGGUGCUCAACAACUUGGGAUCUACAACUUGAUUUAGCGAAGAUGAUAUCGACUCUAUCACCCAACUCUUCAAGCUUCUUUCUCCUUCAAACAUUUCAUCUGUGGGCUAUUUUCUUGUGAUAAUUUCCAUCAAAAGAAUACCAAAGCUAUACACAUCACCUUUUGUCGAAACAAUUCCUUCCAUUCCAUAUUCUGUGUAUGAAUAUAAAGACAACAUUAUUAAUAUUCAAAGAUAUCUUGAUAAUGAAAAAUUCGUAUAAAAUAUCCGAAACAUUAUAUGCUUGCAUGUUAUAAUUGAACUGGGAUUUAAUCUAGUUGCUUCCUUAAAAAGUCACAUUUAAUAUGUUUGAAACUCAAAUCUUAACAUAUAUGAUCCCUUUUGCUAUGCACAUGCUACGCUUAUAUUGAAAAUGGAAAAAUAGACAUGGAGUUUGAUUAGAAGGAUCAGUUGGUGCCAUAUAUCCAAAUGUUGCCAUUGUCAUGGUUUGUAUCAUUGAAACCUCUUCACGUAAGAGUUUCGCGAUGCCAAAAUCACUCAAAUGCGCAACCAUAUCUUCAUCUAAUAGAACAUUGUUGGGUUUCAAAUCAUAGUGAACCACGGGUGUUGCAUUACCAUGGUGGAGAUAUUCCAAUGCAGAUGCAACAUCUAUCAUUAUGUUCAACCUUUGUAGGAUAUCCAAAUAUUGGUUGUUGGAAUACAACCAUUUAUCAAGACUCCCACUAGGCAUGAACUCAAGCACCAACGCUUUGAAAUUAAGAUCAUUAGAGCAACUGCUUAUUACUUUGACUAAAUUUCUGUGACGAGUGUUGCGGAGAACAUCACAUUCAACAUCAAAGCUCUUAAAAGCUCCUUCUAACUCUAACUUGAAGACCUUCACCGAAAUUACCGUCCCAUCCUGGAGAGUCCCUUGGAAUACUGAACCAUAACUUCCAUUACCAAGCAACCUACUAUCACUGAAUCCAUCAGUAGCUUGACGAAGCUCGUGGUAUGAAAACCGUCUCCACGUUCCUAAAGGUAUCAUGUCUUCUUGAGUUGGCAAUUUGUCUUUCCUCCUGUAUUGCAAGAUAAUGAUUAUCAGAGCCACAACCAAAAUUGUGGAGGCAAUUGGCAGAGCUACAUAUAUUAUGAGCUUAGUUUUUGCCUUGGAAUUUCUAAGAGAUCUAGUUUUGCAGUUUGGAACAUGAAGUCGAGCUGCACCACACAAGGCUUCAUUCCCCUUAAAUGAUUCGAUUGUGUAGUUUCCAAAUGAUCCUCCAUCAGGAAUUUCUCCUUCAAGUCUAUUAAAAGAGACAUUGAAAUAUUUGAGAUAACGGAGUUUCACUAAGGAUUUGGGAAUCUCUCCAGAUAGAUUAUUUCUUGACAAGUCCAAGAAUUCCAAACUCAACAAUUCAUCAAAAGACUCAGGAAUAGAACCCAUGAUUCUAUUAUUGGAUAAGGAAAAAUGAGUGAGGUCCUUGAGAUCUGCAACUCCAGUUGGGAUAUCACUUGAGAACUGAUUGUUCGACAAAUCCAAACUAGUCAAAACUUUCCAUUUUCCAAUGUCAAUUGGCAGUGGACCACUCAGAGAAUUUGAAGACGAGUAUAGGAUGAGGAGAUAGUUAAGCCUUGUCAACGUUGAAGGUAUUGAAGAGGAAAACAUAUUGGAGUCUAGAAAUAGUUGCCUUUAUGAAUUGACAUCACCUAAGCAAGUAGGUAUUGGCCCAGACAUUUUGUUAUUGGUCAAGAACAAGAAAGCCAAUUUGUUUAGAUGACAUAACUCAGAUGGGAUGGAUCCCUCUAACUUAUUGUCCUUAAGAGAAAGUCAUUGCAACUCUUCCAAUCCUCCAACUGUAGUAGGAAUCUGUCCUAUCAAUUUAUUGCCUCCUAGCUCAAGGUUUAUCAAGUGACUUAAGUUUCCAAUUUCACUGGGGAUGCUACCCCUGAUGUUGCAUGCAGAAGCAGAGAAAUCUUCAAGAGAACUUGAGAGAUUUCCUACCACUCUUGGAAGUUCACCACUAAUAAAUGAGUUGAUGUCGAAAAAAAGGUUCUUCAAGACUCUACAGUUUGUCAAAGGAAAGAGAAAGCUCAUUCCUGAGGAAGUUAAAUUAUUACUCGCCAGGUUGAGAAUAUUUAAAUUUCUUAGAUUGCCCAGAUUAUCCGGAAUGGACCCUGAAAAGUAAUUAUUAGACAUGUCAAGAAGAGUAAGCUGAGAGGCAUUGGAAAUAUACAUUGGGAUCGAGCGGGCAAGGUGAUUGAAAUCAAGAUACAAUUACUCCAUGUUUGGAAGGAAAAGGCCCAUGUUUUAUGGAAGAUGGCCAGAGAGCUGAUUUGUAUCCAAAGAAAUCAUCCUUAGAGUUGAAAUAUUGAACAGUUGUGGAGGAAUAGAACCAGCAAUAUUGUUAAAUGCUAAAUUCAACCAAUUUAGAUUGUUUAGGUUGCCAAUCUCAUGUGGUAUUAUACCUGCCAUAAAUUUUAUCAAACAAAAAUAUUAGACAAAUAUGGAACAUUUGCUUGUAUUUUGUUCUUCUAAGAACAUAAAAAUAACUCAAUUAUGAUUUUAUUAGAGUUUUGUGUGGCCUCAACUGGGAAAGAAUGGACUUAAAAGAAAAGAAAUAUACUAUUUGCAAUGACACGAAAAAAAAUUAUAGCUAUUGUAACAUAAUCAAAAUAUAGAAAGCCGUUGAACAAAAUUAAACCUAUCAUUAAAAGUUGGAAAUAAUUGACCUGUAAAAUUGCCAUGGGAACAAUCAAACAGCCUGAGAAGAGUUAAAUUCACAAUUUGUUUAGGAAUUUCACCUGCAAUUAUAAAAUUCACUUGUCAAAUUCAAAAUUCAUCUCUUAGUAAAGAUUAUAAGAUAAUAAAUGCUUAAUAACUUACUUAGCUUUCCAAUUUUAUAUAAUAAAGUCAUUUUAAUUUUCUAUUUAAUUUUUCGCCUUUAAACUUGUAAUAUUUGUCAAAUAUACCUCCAAAAUGGAUCAAAAAAUCCAUGUGCAUGUCACGUACUUAGUUUCUUGUUUGUUUAUCUUAUUUCUUCUCUAUCAAAGACCAAUAUUUAUUUUUAUUUGGUCCAAUCAAAAUAUAUUUUAUCAUUUCUGUAUUCGCAAGUCAAUAUAGAUGGAUAUUUCAAAACAUAUAUAUGUCUCUCUUAUUCUCGAUUUUCUCAAGCAAUUUGGUGGAAUACUCGAACGUUCGAUUCUUUUUUUUGGUCUUAACUUCAAUCUUUAUGAAUGAAAACAAAAGAAAAGAGUUUCUCAUUAUGAUCUAGGUUUCAUUUCUAUGGGUUAAAAAAAUUAAAAUAGUUAGUUGAAAGACCCAACAAAAAGUUGGUUAUAGAGGAGUUCAAGGAUAGAAAUAACCAAAACUCAUCUCAGCUACUGUACAAAUAGGUGUCGUAACCAUUUUUUUGUAAAAAGGUCGUUGACUUGGAUUUUGAAAAACGAAAACGAACAUGGGAGUCGCCACCAAUCCUUUUUAUUUAAGUGUGAUCGGAUCACCUUAUAAUUUAAUCAUUUUAAUAAAAGUUUUAAAUUUACUAAAACGAUAAUUUUUUUGUCUACAAAAUCCAAGAAAAGGGUUCGGGAGUUGGUUACGCAUGAGGAAGGAUUAGCACCAUCGAUGCACCCCAAAUUGGCAUCUAGUUGAUUAAUUAGUUUCUUAGUGUCGAAGAUUGAAAACUUUAAAGAGAUUUAAAAUUUGAUCCUUUAUUGAAAUGCUAAAAAAAUUUGAGGAAAAGGGCAUACUUUACGUUAAUCGAGAAAAGAGAAUUACGUCCCGUAAGUUAAGACACAAUACCACGUACUUUUGAGAAUAAGCUCCCUUUUGUUUUUUUUUCUCAAAGCAUGUUUAUUUUAGUUUUUAAAAGGAUAUUCGGUUAUUUGGGUUCAACGCGAGAAGAAUCAAGACCCAGUAAGUUAGGAUACGACUUCUCGGAUUUCCAAUUACAGAAUAUUGCCUUUAUUAUUUUUUAGAAAAGAACCUCAUCUUGAGAAAAAUAACAUGUCAUAUCCAAUGCGUUAGGACACAACAUAUCGAAUUCUCGAGAUAAGCUUUAAUUUUGGAAUUUCUACGUUUAAAUUGAAAAAGGGAUAUUCAGUUACUUACAUUCAACAAGGAGAAUUGAAGCCCAGUAAGUUAGGGCACAAUCCCCUCGAGAAUCUUGGAUACCGAGUAGUUGAAAACUUAUGGAUAAAAUGAUUUCAAUAUUUUUCUAAACGGAUGUAACGCGAUUGAAUGGUAACGUAUUACGCAAAAGUAUAAUUUAAAAAUAAAAUACACGUUAACGAAUCAUGAAUAAUAAAUAAACACAAACUAACAUAGCGAUAAUAAUCUCAAUCAUACAUGUCGAAUAUCGAUAUCAAUAUUUGAAAUAAAAACGAGCUAAUUAAUGCAAACACAAGCCAAGUGUAUAAGUUUUGAAAUGACUAGAAAAAUAAAUGGUAUGAAAAGAAUGGAAAUUGUGAAUCAAUAAAGCAUAUACAUAGAAAUUUUAACAUAAGUAUAUACAAAAAAUUUGAAAUAGAUUAAAAUGGAGUUUAAAAUAAAAUAAAAUAAAUAGUAUGCGAAGUAAAUUUUAGAGUAAAGGUUCAAAAUAUUAAUAUAUACAUAUAUUAAAAUUUUAAAAAAAGUAAUACGUAUGGGGUGGAUAUAAUAUGUGGUACUAUACGUAAAAGUUGGAGUUAGUGAAGUAUAUUAAAAUAGGAUUUUUUUUUUAGAACUACAUAUUUAUAGAUAAAAAAUAGAUGUUAGCAAAUAUAUAUACAACUAUAGUAAAGAAAGGACUGAAAAUUAAUAUGUAAUUUGAUAAAAACUAUGUAUCAUAAAAUAAAACCAUUUUAAAGAAAUAAAUCCCAUUGGAUUGAUAUAAUAAUAUGAAAUAAUGAUAAUGAUAUAAAACGUUAAAAAAUAUAAAUACGUAAUAAUAAAAGAGUAAAUAAAUAUAAAUAAGUGUAAUAAUAGUACCAAUAAUAAUAAUAGUAACAGUACUAAUAACAAUAAUAAUAUAAAUAAAAUAAUAUUAAACAGUUAAUUUUACAAGAAAAAAUAAAAAUAGAUAAAAUAGCACUGACAACAGAGAAGGACUAAAUUAAGCUUGAAAAUAAAAGUUUGAGGCAAAUCUAGAAAUAAAUGAAAAAGGGAUCGCGCUGAACACGCGAACAACGGGGAAAGACCAAAAUGGGAAAUAAUCCCAGCCUUCCAGAAUGUUGAGUUUUGCGCGGACCAGAUUGGAACAAAAAAUAAAAUGCGUGGCCAUAUUUAAAGGGAACAAAAGAUCGAUUUGAACUCAAUAUGGAAUACAGGGGACCAUUUGCGUAAAUUUCCCACGCGUUAUAAAACACGCAGAUCCGGGACCGGAUCGGGGCGGGUCGCGUGCUGGUCGUGCAAAACAGAGCCGUUUCAGCACUGAAACUCCCAGGUGAAACGACGUCGUUUCAAUAGCAAUAUAAAAGUUAAAAUUUUCCAAAAUAGACUCAUUUUCUCCUUGUUUCAGAAAAAAACAUUGGGGGUUCUCUCAAGUCCCAUUUCUCCAGCCCUAAACUUCGGCCAAAGUCUGGCCACUAGCCACCGUACCGGUCGUCGAUCGUCGGCAUUAGCGCCGCCGCGCACGGUGGUCGGCGAGGGAAAAAAGUUUUUUUUUUUAAUUUUUCAGCCCCCUAGACUCAAAUCCAACCACAAAACACCCAAAAACGUAAUAAAAAGGGACUAACAACCCUCUCAACGACGAGUUUUGCCACUAAAGAAGGGACCUUCUGACGAUCAAGGCGCGGCGUAACUCCGGUGAGUCCCUUCCCCUUUUUCUUAUUUUCGAACAACAAAAAGAAAGAAAGAAUAAAAAAAAGGAUUGAAAUCGAAAAUAAUCACCUUAAAAAAAACUUUCUAUUUUUGAUUAAUUUUUAUAUAUUUCGAAUCAAUGUGUGCGUAAAAAACUGUUACAACGAGAAUACUUUGGCUUUUAUAGCCAAAUUACAACCGUUUGAUCUUCAUCUUUUUGUUUUUUUUUUUGCUCUUUAUUUUGCUGGAUUCUUCUGUUGCUUUGCAUUGAUUUCUCUCUGCAGGUGUCAGAGGCGUGCGAUGCGCAUGGAGGUGACGGGCGGCGAUGGCAGUGUCAGAGGUGGCAGAGGCUUGCGGCGCACCUAGGGUUUCUGCCUCUCCCUCUUGCUGAAAAUUAGUUUAGGUUUUGGGCCAUUUGGGCUUUAAGGUUUUGAUUUGUUUGGGCUGUAAUUGGGUUUGUAAUUUAGCUGAUAAUUUGGAUUGUUUGGAUUAUUUAUUUUUUUGGUUUUAUUUCUGUUUAUUUUUGGGUUUUGGGCUUGGGGAAAAUUUGAUUAUUACAGAGAUAUUGAAGAUGGUAGAGGGAAUUGAACCUGAAAUCUGGUUUUCAAACAAAUACAAGACCUCUAGCUUUGACAAAUAGGCUAAAGAGAAUGGAAUAACACCUUUGAAGUUGUUUUGGUACAAAAACAACCUUCGAAGUUCAGUUAAUGAUCCCAACCAUGAUGGGAUUUCUCCACUGAAGGUGUUGUUACCAAAGCUUAAAUAUUUCAGCCGUCGCAAAUUGGAUAACUAGACAGGUAAUCUGCCAUAAAAACUAUUGUUUGUGACAUAAAGAAGAGAAAGGAAUGACAAAUUUCCCAAGUGAGGUUGAAGGGUGCCUACGAGUCCCAACUGUUAGAGUUAUUAAUAAAAUAGUCAAAGCUAUUACUAAGUCAGUUAGCAGUUAAGCUAUUACUAAGUCCGUUAGCAGUUAGAAAGUUAGCUGUAAUGUCAGUAAGCUUUAGCUUACGUGCUUGUAUAAAUACAUGUGAGGUCUGCAUGUUUUAAGUGACCUAAUGAAAAUAAUUCUCUUCUUGAUUCUUUCAUUUUCUUAGUUUCUUGUAGUUUUACAUGGUAUCAGAUGUAAGUUUUUCCAGGCAUUUUUUCUUCUUCUUUCGUUAAUCCGCUGUGCAGUCUGCAUAGUCAAUAUGGCCUUCAAUUCUUCUGACGGAGCUAUUGACAGUCGGUUCUUUUCUACAAAGAGGAUUAGUGUUCUUCUUGACGAUAAUACCUAUUUACUGUGGCGUCAGCAGGUUCUCUUGGCUAUAAAAGCGCAUAAACUUCAAAACUUCUUGGACCCUCAACAAGAUCCUCCCACUCAGUUUCUUGCCGAUGGUAGUGGUGGUUUUCAUGAGAAUCCAGAGUUUGCACAUUUUGAGCAACAAGAUAGUGCAUUUGCAUCGUGGUUGUUAUCUUCUAUUAGCCAAACGGUGCUUCCUCAUCUUAUUGGUAUGGAUACCAGUGCCAAGAUUUGGAAUGCAGUUGUUACUUGUUACCUUGUUUGGUAGUAAAACCACCUCUAAACUGAUCUCCUGUCGAAGAGCUUUGCAUUCUCAACGCAAGGGCAACUUGAGCAUGAAGGAGUUCUUGAUGAAUGUUAAAAGUUGCUGUGAUAAUCUCGCUAGUUGCGGUGAAGUCAUCAGCGAGCAUGAGCAUGUUACUGCAAUACUCAAUGGUCUUCUUCCAGAAUAUAAACCUGUCAUCACCAUUGUUACAGCAAGUCAAGUGCCCUACACAGUACAAGGUGUAACUUCCAUGCUUCUCGAUACUGAAGCUCGACAGCAGGUGAUGAGUUGUAAAGUCUCCAGUUCUGCAAACUUGGUGUCUUACCAGUCUUCUGAGUCUUCCGAUACUACUGGUUCAAUACCUGCUUAUCGACAGUCAUCUGCAACUCGGGGACGUCGGUGAGGGCGUUCGUCCAACACGAGGAUUCAAUGUCAGCUAUGUGGGAAAGCUGGUCACCUUGUUGACCGUUGUUACUAUCGGCUCACUUGUCCAUACACGUCAGCUUAAAAUGGACUUGUUGAAUUAAAACACCGACAGGUAGUUGAAACCGGCCUGUCCAUGUUAGCUCAUCCAACCAUGCCUUUGAUGUUCUGGAAUGAAGCCUUUUGCAGUGCCGUGUUUCUGAUUAACAGAUUACCCUCCCAUCCCUUGGGUGAUAUAUCACUAUAUGAAAAAUUGUUUAAAACAAAACCAAAUUACUCUUUCCUUCGAACUUUUGGCUGCUUAUGCUUUCCUAAUCUUAGACCUUUCAAUAAAACAAAGCUACAGUUUAUAUCUAUUCCUUGUGUCUUUCUCGGCUAUUACCCAUUGUACAAAGGUUACAAAUGUAGAGACCCUAUUGGUAGAAUCUAUAUUACUCGUCAUGUCACAUUUAAUGAGGCCAUUUUUUCCUACAAAAUGCAUAGUUCAACAGUCAUCCCAUCUACUGCUGUUCCACAGGUCAAUACAAAACUUCUUGUCCUACAUCCUAGCACUGUAUCUUGUAAUAGCAUCCCACCUAAUGUUAUUUCUACUAAUCCCUCUUCAACACCCACUUCACAGUCCACCUAUCCUAUUUUAGCUCAAACAUCACCUGCUUCACCUACGUUAUCUAGAUCCUCUUCACCUCCACAAUUGCAACCCUCCCAAUCCGCCCCGAUCAACACUCAUUCCAUGAUCACCAGGAGUAAGGUUGGAAUUUUCAAGCCAAAGGCUUAUUUGAGCACGACAUCUUCUUCUCCUAGUGAUGUUUCCUCUAACAUACAUGCAACGAUGGCGUUUGAAUGCUGGCGAAUAGCGGUUCACAGUGAAUUGCAAGCUUUGGUUCGUAAUAAUAUGUGGACUCUUUGUUCUCUCCCUGAAAAUGGACGAGCAGUCGGGUACAAGUGGCUCUUUAAAAUUAAAAGGAAGGCUGAUGGGUCCAUCGACAGGUACAAAGCAAGAUUAGUUGCGAAAGGGUUCUCUCAACAUACAGGGCUUGACUUUCAUGACACAUUUAGUCCACUAGUUCAAGCUUCCACCAUUCGCACUAUUCUUGCGUUAGCUGUUAUGCAGGGGUAGGCAAUGCGUCAAGUUGACAUCAAUAACACCUUUCUUAAUGGUGAGCUUACUGAAGAAAUAUACAUAGAGCAACCCUCUGGUUUUGAAGUCUCAGGUGCCUCUGGUCAGCCACUUGUGUGCAAAUUGAAUACAGCACUCUAUGGCUUGCGACAAGCCCCUCGUGCAUUCGAGUGUCUACAGGGAAUUACCUGCUUCUCAUGGUUUAUUUCGAUGACAUUGUGCUCACUGGUAGUAGUGUUCAAGAUAUAGAUGCUGUGGUACAUCAUCUUCAUAACAAAUUUGCUCUUAAGGAUAUGGGAACUCUCAGUUUUUUUUUGAGAAUUGAUGUCCAACGUACGUCCCAAGGAAUGUUGCUCAAUCAGAAGAAGUAUGUCACUGAGCUUCUUCUCAAAACUGGUAUGAUCGGGGCCAGGGAUUUAAAUUGCGGUCGCGGUCGCGUUUUCGGUCGCAUUGCGUUUAUCGCGGUUGCGGACAUAACGGAUGCUAUUGCGGUCAUUGCAGGUAUCGCGGUCGUGAAUUUUACAUUACUUAUUGUGUAUUGCGGGUAUAGCGGGUUUCGGCAGUAGCGGUUUCGGACGGUGCCGUUACCGCUAUAUAACGGCCGCUAUUUCGGUAACGGACCGCUAUUUAAAUCCCUGAUCGGGGCAGCUUCUACACCGACACCCAUAGUAAGCACUCCCAAGUUAGUUGCUUCAGAUGGCAGUCCUAUUUUUCCAAAUGUUCAUUUGUACCGAAGUACAAUGGGUAUGCUUCAAUAUAUAUGUAUUACACAACCCGAUUUGUUGUUCUGUGUAAACAAGCUUAGCCAGUACAUAAGUUCCCCCAGUGUCACUCAUUGGAAAGCUGUCAAACGUGUUUUAAGGUAUCUGGCUGGCACCAUAGAUCAUGGUUUGUAUUUUGCAGCAGGUCCAUUAGAGCUGGUGUGUUACUCUGAUACUGACUGGGCCUCAUCCAUUGAAGAUCGACGGUCUACGUCGGGAUAUGUGGUAUACUUAGGAUCAAAUCCUGUUACCUGGUGCUCAAAGAAACAGUCGGUGGUAUCCAGGUCGUCUGCUGAAGCAGAGUAUCGUAGCCUAGCCAACUGUGUGUCUGAACUGCUGUGGAUUCAACAGCUGCUAAAUGAAGUUGGAGUACCUCUGUCUAAGUUGCCAAUCGUCUGGUGCGACAAUUCUUCUGCAGUUUCAGUAGCUGAAAAUCCCACGCAUCAUUCUAGGAUGAAGCAUGUGGAAAUAAAUCACCAUUUUGUUCGUGAGAAAGUUCUUGCUGGAAUCCUACAGGUCAAUUUUGUUCCCUUUGAUCAACAGAUUACAGAUGUCCUCACUAAACCAGUUACUCCUAAGCUGUUUUCAUCAUUUCGACAUGCUCUUCGAGUCUUGACGUUAAGUGAACUUAAUGAUAAAAAAUCAAACAUGCUAAGGGAAUGUUAGUUAUUAAUAAAAUAGUCAAAGCUGUUACUAAGUCAGUUAGCAGUUAAGCUGUUACUAAGUCAGUUAGCAGUUAGAAAGUUAGCUACAACGUUAGUCAGCUUUAGCUUACGUGCUUGUAUAAAUACAUGUGAGGUCUGCAUGUUUUAAGUGAUCUAAUGAAAACAAUUCUCUUCUUGAUUCUUUCAUUUUCUUAGUUUCUUGUAGUUUUACACCAACCCAGUAAGGUCUAGAGCUGUGACUCUACGGUGCUUGGAUCCACAACUUACACCAAACCAAUAGCAAACGGGGGAAGAGGCUGACCAAUUAGUUGUUAAGACAUUUUCAGGAUCAUGAUGAAUAACAUGAUCUCUUAGUGUUAGAAGAGUUGAUUGAUCUGUAAGUAUGGUGGUUAAUUUCAUAGAGAAAUUAGUAGGCAUAGAAAAAUGGAAGAUGAUAAGAAGAGCUAAGUUGAGGAAAGUAUUCCCUGCUUAUCGAGCUACCAACGAAGGCAGAACUGAAUGUUGUAAUUUAUUCUUGCAACAUUGCAAAUUCUUUGAAUGUGAUUUAGGUAGAAACUAUAGAAUUUAUUAUAGGAUGUGAUAAUAUGAUUAUGUAAUUAUUGCUUAAAAAACUUCUUUCUAAAUUUCAUAUAGUUGCACUAGUGCUAAGAUUACAACUUUUUUUAUUAAAUUAUUCUAGAUUAGUGAAAUUAUUAGACAACGUGAUAAUUUCUUAUCAGAUAGGAAGUGACAAGUGAGCAGUCACUUCCAAGAAUAUAAACAACUCAAUCACUCUCUUAACUAACGGUAUCAAACACUAAUUGUUGUUUCUAUUGACUAAAAGAAUUUUCAACCAAAAAUAUGUUGACUUAAAAUUAAAAUAAACCAUCAAAUUUCUUAGAACAUUCAAUGAGGUUGAAAGAUUUUAUUUUUAAUUUUUGUUAUUUUGGAAUAAUUUUUUUUCUUUAUAAUUUUACCAAAAAAUAUAUUUUAACUUUUUAUUUUUUUUAGUCAUUAAACUUACAUUGUUUGUCAAAUUAUCCCAAAAUAAAUGGAAAAAAUCAACGUUUGUUAACUUUGCUAAUGUGCCACAUGUGGAUUGUCACGGGAAUGUCAAGUUAGAAAUUAAUUCAUUUUUAAAAAUUUAAAAAUUUAGAAAAUAUUAUUAAUUUAUUUUUAAAAUACUAAAUUUAUUUAAAAAGUAUAAAAGUAUAAAAUUAUAAAAAAAUUUUUAUUUUUAAAAAUUAAUUAAUUGCUAACGUGGUACAUUAACUUUUUCAUUCAUUUUAGAUGAUUUGACAAACAAUACGAGUUUAAAAGUUAAAAGUGAUGGAAAAUUAAAUAAAAGGCUAAAAUGAAUUUUUAAAAAAAUAAAUUUGAAGCGCCAAAAAAUUCAUCAUCCUUUUUUUUUGUCCUAUCAAUACGCUUAACAACAUGCCACCAUAAUUUUGAUUUUCUCUGGUAAGUCUGUAUGCCAUAGGUUUUUUAGGAAAGCUUUGUUUGUAAUUUCAUUAGUAUCAUCAUCUAGACUAGAGGUCUCUUUCAGUAGCCUUCUGUAACCACUCCUCACAAUAUACUCUCUUGUUACCUCCCCAUUCCAUACCCUAUUUUCCUCUCGUGGAUGUCUCGCUAGAGGAAUUUGCAAGAUAGUUUCUACCUCUUCCCCUGUAAACAAAGAGGUAACAAGAUCCUCCUUCCUUUGUCUCAGAUUAGAUUCACUCAGCUCUUCCACCUUAAUUAUAUUGUGAUCUCAAACUAACUCCUGGAUUUUUUUAUCCUUCAACCCAAGGAUCCGAGCAUCCUGCCACUCUCCAAGCCAUUCCAUCCUAUAGUAGUUGCUUCGUCGCCCAUAAGCUCCUCCAAGUAUAAAAAGGAUAAUUACCUAACUUUGGUUGCAUGAACUCGACAUUGGGGAAUAUUUAGCUUUUAAAGUUCUAGCUAAUAACAAAUCAUGAUAAUUCAUUAAACUCCAACCCUAUUUUGCAAAGGCUAAAUUCAACUUGGAUAAAUUUUUAAACCUUAUUCCCCCAUCUUCAUUUAGUUCACACAAUUUAUUCCAAUUGCAUCAAUGAAUCCCCCUCUUUCCUUUUUGUUUCUGCCACCAAAAUCGAUUUAUAACCUGUUCCAUGUCAUGACAUAAAGAAUUCAGUGGUAAAAAACAAAACGUAGCAUAAGUCGGAAUUGAUUGCAGUACACUCUUAAUAAAAAAACUUCCUUCCCUCCCUAGGGAAGUAUUUUAACACACCAAUUAUUUGUUCGUUUUGCAAUCCUAUCUUUCAAGCCCUGAAAGGUCCUUCAUUUUUGCCUCCCCACAACAUUCAAGAGCCCCAAAGACUUCUCUGGAUCCAUCAAACAACGCACCCUUAAUAAUUGAGCUACUGAGUCCUUUGCAUAUGUAGAAUUAUUUGAACUAAAAAAUAGUGUUGAUUUCUCUAAGUUGAUACUUUGCCCUGAAUAUUCUUCAUACUUCUGCAAAAUCCUUCUAAUCUCAUUUGCUCGCUUUUCUGUAUCUUCACCAAACAAAAUAUAGUCAUUCGCAAAAAGCAAAUGAGUAAUCUCAAGACCCUUUCUACAUACCUUGACACCUUUUGUUCUCCCCUCCCCUUUCACCAUCCUCAUCAAUGUCAACAACCCCUCUCCACAAAUCAAGAAUAGAUAAGGACUUAGCGGAUCCCCUUGUCUAAGGUUAUAAUCUCCUUAACUUGGACUAGACGUUAUGACCAUAUUAAAAAGGCUACAUUAGACUCCAAAAUGACUAAACAGACUAUUUGACCUUUGAAAAUCCUUAACACACAACUAGUUUUAAAGAAAAUUGGUAUUGGUGAUCCAAGUUAGAUAAAACAUUUGUUUAUUGGGUUUUCUUACAAAAAAAAACCCUAAUUUUUUUUCUAACUUUAGAAAAGUCAUCACCCUUGAAAUUAAUUAACAUUAAAACAUUCAUUCAAUUAGGCCAUCUUUACUUAGAUUCUAUUUUAUUAUUGUUGUCAUGUUUUAGAAAACUAAUUGUUUUGAUAUUUUGUUUCACAAAAAUCAAAUCUUUAAAAUGUAGUGGAAAACUAUUAUUCAUAUCAUUUUAGAAAUCCAAUUGCCUUAUUGAUUUGUUUUUCAAAGCAGUUAAUUUGUAACACAAUGAAAAAUUGGUGAUCAAUGCCAAUUUUACUUAAGCCAUAUAUCAUGCAAUUAUUAGUUAUUAAACUUCAGUAAUAUAUGCAUGCACAAAAUCUCCCUCCCCUAAAAAAUAAUCAAGCCAUAGACUAGAGGAGUUCAUGGGCCGGGCCGGGCUCAAAAAAAUUUUGACCUGUCCUAAAAUAUGGGCUUAAAAUUUUGAUCCAGGUCCUACCUGAGAAAAAAUUUCUAAGCUCGGCCCAACCCAUUUUUAAUAAACAUCAAAAAAUUAUUUAAAAAAUAAAAAGUAUUUUAAAAUUUCUAAAAAAUAUAUAUAUUUAUUAUAUCGGGCCAAGCCGAGCUCGAGCCUAGGCCAAAAAAGUGGUACCCAAAGCCCAAUCUAUUUUCUAAACCAACUUUUUUUUAUCUAAACUCAUAUUUUAAAUCUAUAUAUUUACCUGAAUUCUCUCAUAUUUCGGGCGAAUCGUCCUGACAUGAGCACCUCUAGCUUUUAAGGACUUGAUUUUCAAUUUUUAACUUUUCCUUUGUUUUUCUUUCGUUCUGUUUAUAUGUCAGGUCUCCAAGAUGCCCUCCUUAUUUGGCUCUAACCCUUCAUCCUCCGAUCCUGCAAACGACACCGUGCCUUCCCCUUCCUCUUCUUGUUCCUCCUCCUCCUCUCCGGACAUGUGGAAUUACUUUUUUAUCCCUAUCCUCCUCCACCUCACCAAAAAACUCUCCCUUGCUAAAGCUCAAACCUCAACUGGACUCCUCCUCCCGAGUCAACGCGGCGACGGCUCGGCCGAUGAUUCACUAAUUUCCUUUUCGAGGUGCGCGAAUGCUGACCCGAAGCUAUAUUAUCGGCCUGUGAUUGGGAUACUGAGUCAUCCAGUAGGCGGCGCGUCGGGGGGCCGUUCCUACAUAGUUGCGUCGUACGUGAAGUUCGUGGAAGCGGCCGGGGGUCGAGUCAUUCCUCUUAUUUAUAAUGAGCCGGAAGAGAUUCUUUUCCAGGUAAUAAUCAUGAUGUUCAUUUCCUUGUAAAAAUGCUGAAUUUUGACUUUGAAUAUUUGCGUGUGUGUGUGUUUUUUAAAAUUCGGUUAAAAAAAAUGGACAGUCGUGAAUCUAUUUUUGGAAAGAAAAAUUCCUGAUUUAGAAUCUUAAAUAACUUUGAUACUGUGAAAUUUGAUACUGUGAAUUUUUAAUAUUUUGUUUCAUAAUAAGUUUUUCCUCUUAAUUAAAUGUAAGAAUAUAAAAAUGCUUGCUAUUCCCGCAUUUCAAAAAAUUCUCUCGUUUUUGUUAAAUCAUAAAAUUAGGAUACUACCAGUUGUUGCAAUCUCCUUACUGUCUAUGCAAAGGAUAGAAUUUUAGCUUAGUUGCAUUUUUGUGGAUAUUCUUUAGUACCUUAAUAUUUGAAAUGAUAUUUUGAUUGCAUAUGCAUAUGCAUAUGCAUAUGCCUUUCAUUCCCUUGCUUUUGAUUUGCUACGAUUAGACAGUGGUAUGAUGCUAUGAUACCCGCUUUAGCAUAGUUGUUGCCUUCCUUUGCCAAAAGCCUGUCACCUUGCUAAGUGUCUUCUCCACCUUCGUAUUGCAGAAGCUUGAAUUGGUUAAUGGCGUGCUUUUACCAGGAGGGCGGUCUAAAUCCGGCUUGUACUAUGAUAUUGCUGAAAAGAUUUUCAAGGUAAUUUAUAUUUAUAUUUGUUUGUUUCUUGAUUUUAUGAAAUUCACAUGAAACUAACAAAAAAAUAUAGGCAAGAGAUUGGUGUUAGCAUGCAAGUCUUUUGUUUCUUCAACUUAUGCUUCAAAUGUUUUUAUAUUUCCAAUUUUCCAUGGGUUGCAUAGAAAACUUUUAUUCUUUGUGUUUUUGCAGAAAGUUAUAGAGAAGAACGAUAGGGGAGAUCAUUUCCCGUUAUAUGCCAUUUGUUUGGGUUUUGAACUUUUAACAAUGAUUAUCAGCGAAGUAAGCACCUCACAUUAUCUGACAUUUUUUUUCUGUUUCCUUUUUAAAAAAAAAAGAAAAAAGAAAAACAAUUUAAUUUUCUUCAGGCUUUUAUCUGUUUAUAUGGCUUUUUUAUAUGGCUUUUCUUGAUGUAGUUAACUUUUGUUCACUAUUGUGGACUUUCUCUACUAAUAUUCAUUCAUGCGUCAUGGCAGAAUGACCAAAUGAGACGUUUUUAAAUUUCUUGAUUUAAGGAACUCUAUAAUUUCCAUUUGUGAGAGAUUACUGUUGGCCUAACAUGGCUAAAUAAUGGCAAUUCCUGCAUGUUCACCGUAUUGUGGAAACUGCAGUAUUUGAUCCGUUAGGAUGGCAUGGUUACCUUGUUUGUGGCAUCCAAACCAAUGGUUGACCUUGCUGGAAAACAUUUUCUAAUGGAUUUGAAAUCUCAAAAUCUUAUCUACUGGUUCUUUAGAAAUCACUUCAUUUCAAGUUAGCUUAAACCUACCCAUGUCUACUGUAUCCAAUAACUUAUUUUACUUAAGGAUUUUCUUUGUUGAAUUAUAAAAAAUUUGACAAAAUCUUAUUUUAAUGAAUACAUACUUUUUUUCUUCUUGCUGAUAGUGUUAACAUUAAUGGGAGACAACAUUAAUGGCAAACAAUACAAAGUGGUGCAAGUUUAGCACCCUAAAGUUGACUUUGAAAAAGUGGCAUGGGAUAAUUUUUUUUGGUCCUUGAGAUAAUGGGCUAUUUAUUGUUUGGUCCUUAAACCUCAACUAUAAAUAAGCCUUUUCAUUUCUUAUUUCAAUUCAUCCCAACCAAUCUUUCUCUCUUAGUUUUCUCUCUUCUCCCAUUUGAGAAUUCUUAAGGAAUUCUAUUUGUUUGUAAUACUUUGAAGAUAGUAAAGUUAUCAUCUGGUGUUAGUGCCCGAGGACGUAGGUAUAAUUUACCGAACCUCGUUAAAACUCUUGUGUUCUUUCUUGUCCUAUUUUUCUUUCAAUAUUUGAGGGUAUAAUAGUAGUAUUUAAUUGUGCUAUUAAAUUACUAUAGAAGGGAUAUUCUGUCUAAGGAAAGACUUGGUAUUUAAGAGAUCCAUGUGAUCCACCUCUCUUUCCUGGGAAUUGAACUUUGUGUGAUUUUUUAGUACAAUAAUUUACACGUUUUCGACCCUAUUGGAACAACAAGUGGUAUCAAGAGCCGAAGGUUAAUCGUAGUAUGCUCUGUGGUUGCAGUUUAAACUGAUCUUCCACAUCAGAAAAGAUUUCCUUAGGUAUAUUGAAAGAUUAUGGAGAAAACGGUCGGUGUAGGAGCUUCAACAUCGUCCAUGUGGACAAGACCGACAAUUGCAAAUGCAAGAUUGGCCGUGGAGAUCUUUGAUGGCACGGGCCAUUUUGGUAUGUGGCAAAGUGAGGUUCUAGAUGCCCUUUUUCAGCAGGGUCUAGACAUUGCCAUUGAUGAAGAGAAACCAGAUGAUGUACAGGAGAAAGAUUGGAAGGCGAUCAAUCGGUUGGCAUGUGGCACAAUUCGAUCAUGCCUUUCUCGAGAGCAGAGGUAUGCUUUUUCAAAGGAGACUUCUGCAAAUAAGUUGUGGGUGGCACUUGAAGAAAAAUUUUUGAAGAAAAACAGUCAAAAUAAGCUCCACUUGAAGAAAAGACUGUUUCGCUUCACAUACGUCCCAAGUACCACAAUGAAUGAUCACAUCACCAAAUUCAAUCAGUUAGUCACUGAUUUGCUGAAUAUGGAUGAGACAUUCAAAGAUGAAGAUUUGGCUUUGAUGCUGUUGGGGUCACUUCCUGAGGAGUUUGAGUUCCUAGAAACUACUCUACUUCAUGGCAGGAGUGAUAUAUCUCUGAGCGAAGUCUGUGCGGCCUUAUACAGUUGUGAACAGAGAAAGAAGGACAAACAGAAAAACUCAAUCAGAGAUACAGAAGCUUUAGUAGUCCGAGGUCGUUCAUACACUCGGAAGAAAACUCAAAAGGGGAGAUCAAAGUCAAAGUCCAGACUCGGGAAAGAUGAAUGUGCUUUUUGUCAUGAGAAAGGCCACUGGAAGAAAAAUUGUCCAAAGCUGAAGAAUAAGGGAAAAGCUGCUGUAGAUGCUUGUGUUGCUAAGCAUGAUACUAGUGACUCUGAACUAUCACUGGUUGCAUCAUCAUCGUCGUUCCAUUCAGAUGAGUUGAUAUUGGAUUCGGGUUGUACCUAUCAUAUGUCCCCUAACCGGGAGUGGUUCUCUGAUUUAGUAGAACUAAAUGGAGGAGUUGUUUAUAUGGGCAAUGACAAUGCUUGUAAAACUGUUGGAAUAGGUUCAAUCCAAUUAAAGAAUCAAGAUGGAUCAACCAGAGUUCUGACUGAUGUUCGGUACGUGCCCAGUUUGAAGAAAAAUCUCAUCUCAUUGGGAGCAUUGAAAUCCAAUGGUUCAGUUGUUACUAUGAGAGAUGAGAUUUUGAAAGUGACAUCUGGCGCACUUGUGAUAUUGAAGGGCAUCAGGAAAAAUAACUUGUAUUACUACCAAGGUAGUACAGUUAUUAGAGCAGUCGCUACAGCUUCCGGUAACAAAGAAUUGGACUCAAUGCAGUUGUGGCAUAUGAAGUUGGGACAUGCCAGCGAAAAAUCCUUGCAAAUUCUGGCAAAGCAAGGAUUGUUGAAAGGUGCAAAGGCUUGCAAAUUAAAAUUUUGCGAGCAUUGUGUUCUGGGAAAGCAAAAGAGAGUGAAAUUCGGUACUGCUAUCCAUAAUACAAAAGGUAUUUUGGAAUAUGUUCACUCAGAUGUGUGGGGGCCUUCCAAGACACCUUCCUUGGGAGGAAAACACUACUUUGUUACUUUUGUUGAUGACUUUUUCAGAAGAGUUUGGGUGUAUACCAUGAGAACUAAGGAUGAAGUGUUUAGAGUUUUUCUUAAAUGGAAAACUAUGAUCGAAAACCAGACUAGCAAGAAAAUCAAGCGGCUUAGGACGGACAAUGGAGGGGAAUAUAAAAGUGAUCCGUUCUUCAAUGUGUGCCAAGAGUAUGGUAUUGUUCGACACUUCACAGUUAGGGAUACACCACAGCAGAAUGGAUUGGCAGAGCGUAUGAAUCGAACAUUGCUGGAGAAAGUUCAAUGUAUGUUGUCCAAUGCUGGAUUGGGCAAGCAAUUUUGGGCUGAGGCUGUGACAUACGCUGGCCAUCUUGUUAAUCGUUUGCCAUCAUCUGCAUUAGAAAGAAAAACUCCUAUGGAGGUAUGGUCUGGAAAACCGGCUACAGAUUAUGAUUCCUUACAUGUGUUUGGAACCACUGCAUAUUACCAUGUGAAGGAGUCAAAGUUAGAUCCGAGGGCAAAGAAAGCUCUCUUUAUGGGAAUCACUUUUGGAGUGAAGGGAUUUCGUCUUUGGUGCUUAAGCACAAAGAAAAUGAUCUGUAGCAGAGAUGUUACCUUUGAUGAAUCUGCCACAUUGAAAAAGGUAGCAGAUAAAGAUAUUCAGACGAGCAAUACUCCACAGCAGGUGGAGUGUACUCCAAAACAGGUGGAGUUUGAGCAGAUGGGGAUUUGCCCAGUUAAUAAGUCUAAUUCUCCAGCCACAAUGGAGGAAUUAGAGGUUGAAGAGGUUCUGACCCAAGAACCACUAAGUACACCAGAACCAGUUGCAGUUGUAAGGCCACGGAGAGAAAUUCGUAAACCUGCUCGAUUUACUGAUAUGGUGGCCUACGCCCUUCCCGUUGUUGAUGAUAUUCCUAUCACUUAUCAAGAAGCAAUGCAAAGCUUAGAAAGUGAUAAAUGGAAAAGCGCCAUGGAUGAUGAAAUGCAGUAUCUCCGGAAGAACAAUACUUGGGAGUUGGCGUAAUUACCGAAAGGUAAAAGGGCAAUCGGAUGCAAGUGGGUAUUCGCAAAGAAAGAUGGAUCUCCUAGCAAGAAGGAUAUUCGCUAUAAGGCAAGAUUGGUAGCUAAAGGCUACGCUCAGAAGGAGGGAAUUGACUACAAUGAUAUAUUUUCCCCUGUUGUGAAGCAUUCCUCCAUUAGAAUUUUGUUGGCUUUGGUAGCACAGUUGAAUUUGGAGCUAGCUCAACUUGAUGUUAAGACGGCUUUCUUGCAUGGUGAGUUAGAAGAGGAGAUCUAUAUGACUCAGCCCGAAGGAUACACAGAUGCUGGUGGUAGAAAUUGGGUUUGUAAGCUGAACAAAUCGCUAUAUGGAUUGAAGCAAUCCCCGAGGCAGUGGUACAAGCGAUUUGAUAGCUUUAUGAGAAGGCAGAAGUACACAAGAAGCAAAUAUGACAAUUGUGUAUAUUUGCAGAAGCUGCAUGACGAAUCUUUCAUUUAUCUACUCUUGUAUGUUGAUGAUAUGUUAAUCGCUUCGAAGAGCCAAAAUGAGAUAGAUAAGCUGAAGGCUCAGUUGAAUCAAGAGUUCGAGAUGAAAGAUCUAGGUGAGGCCAAGAAGAUUCUCGGCAUGGAGAUAAGUAGAGAUAGACCGAGAGGCAAGCUCUGUUUAAAUCAGAAGCAAUAUCUGAAAAAGGUAUUACAAUGUUUUGGUGUAAAUGAAAACACAAAACAUGUAAGUACCCCACUUGCUUCUCAUUUGAAACUUAGUGCUCAAUUAUCUUCGAAGACUGAAGAUGAAAGAGAAUAUAUGGCGAAAGUCCCAUAUGCUAAUGCAGUUGGGAGUUUGAUGUAUGCGAUGGUGUGUACGAGGCCUGAUAUUUCACAAGCUGUUGGAGUUGUGAGCAGGUAUAUGCAUGAUCCUGGAAAAGGACAUUGGCAAGCAGUGAAAUGGAUUCUACAGUAUCUUCGAAAAACCGUAGAUGUUGGUUUAAUUUUUGAACAGGAUGAAGCACUUGGUCAGUUUGUAGUUGGAUAUGUUGAUUCCGACUUUGCUGGUGAUUUAGAUAAACGUCGUUCAACUACGGGGUAUCUGUUUACUCUUGCGAAAGCCUCAGUGAGUUGGAAGUCUACCUUACAGUCUACAGUAGUUGUGUCUACUACAGAGGCAGAAUAUAUGGCAGUUACAGAAGCUGUUAAGGAGGCUAUUUGGCUUAAUGGAUUGUUGAAAGACUUAGGAGUUGUUCAAAGUCACAUAAGUUUAUAUUGUGACAGUCAGAGCGCUAUUCAUUUAGCGAAAAAUCAAGUCUAUCAUUCAAAAACCAAGCAUAUCGACGUAAGAUAUCACUUUGUGCGGGAAGUCUUUGAAAAAGGAAAAAUUCUACUUCAGAAGAUUCCGACAGCAGAUAAUCUCGCAGAUAUGAUGACCAAGGUGGUAACAACAAUCAAGUUUAAUCAUUGUUUGAACUUGAUUAACAUCCUAAGAAUUUGAGCACCUUCAGGUGUAUGGCGCUCGAGAGUGCAUUUGUAGGCACUACAAAAGAUAGCUUUAUCGAAUUUGGGGAGUUGAAGGAAGUGUGUGAAGAUGUGAUUAUCCUAAUCAAAUCUUCAAGGUGGAGAUUGUUAACAUUAAUGGGAGACAAUAUUAAUGGCAAACAAUACAAAGUGGUGCAAGUUUAGCACCCUAAAGUUGACUUUGAAAAAGUGGCAUGAGAUAAUUUUUUUGGUCCUUGAGAUAAUGGGCUAUUUAUUGUUUGGUCCUUUAACCUCAACUAUAAAUAGGCCUUCUCAUUUCUCAUUUCAAUUCAUCCCAACCAAUCUUUCUCUCUUAGUUUUCUCUCUUCUCCCAUUUGAGAAUUCUUAAGGAAUUCUAUUUGUUUGUAAUACUUUGAAGAUAGUAAAGUUAUCAUCUAGUGUUAGUGCCCGAGGACGUAGGUAUAAUUUACCGAACCUCGUUAAAACUCUUGUGUUCUUUCUUGUCCUAUUUUUCUUUCAAUAUUUGAGGGUAUAAUAGUAGUAUUUAAUUGUGCUAUUAAAUUACUAUAGAAGAGAUAUUCUGUCUAAGGAAAGACUUGGUAUUUAAGAGAUCCAUGUGAUCCACCUCUCUUUCCUGGGAAUUGAACUUUGUGUGAUUUUUUAGUACAAUAAUUUACACGCUUCCGACCCUAUUGGAACAACAGAUAGGACAAAAAAAUUCUUGAACGAUUUUCUGCAUUAAAUCGGGCCUCUAGUCUCCAAUUUGUGGAAAAUGUUAAUAUUGAAGGAACAGUAUUUCAAAGGUGCAAAACCUUUAUUACCUUUCAUGGUACAUUAGUAUUGUUUGAUUUUGGUGCCAUUUUUCUAUUGAUGCUUUUGCUCAGAUUUUACAUUAUUAUCCUUGGAGGAUUAAGUAUUUUAUAUUUCAAAUAUGUUUUGCUGGUCAGGCAUUAGAUGAUUUAUAGGAAAGUUCACAACAGUUAACGUGUUGAAGUAACGAAAGCCUCUCUGUAUGCGCUGCUAAUAAGGGAAAGAGUCUUGUAAUACAUAUGCAGUUUAUGUUCUGUCAGACUGAUCUCUCCAUUUCACUAUUUGAAUAAGAACUUUGUUGCAUGAGGAUAGAGAAAAGGAAGUCAACUAGUUGCUUGAGAUUUCCUGAAGUUGUUCUUCAGGUUAAAUGAUGACCAUAGCAUAAUAUUUGGUGUGAAACUUUGGUACUAUGGGCUUACCACUUUUCUUGUUAGCUUUUGCUUGCACCAUAGGCACAUGGCAAUGAAUUGGUAUGGUAACCAGACUUCACAUGAAGCUUUUAGUGUAGACCAUAAACAAGUUUAACACUUAAAUAGGAAGAGAAUAGAUGUGUGCUUGUUUAGCUUCCUGAUUAGUGUCAUUGAAUUUGUUCUUAGUUGAUUGAGGAGAGUGUAAUAAACCCUUCUCUGAACUUCAGAGUUACACCUUUGAUAAAUAGCAAUAGCUGAGCACAGCAAUAAACAUUAAUUGCCUGUUUGCUUUAUCAUCAAAAGGCUUUAUGAAUGUUGUAGGUAUAUCCAUUUAUAAUAUCUAACCUUUCAAUCAGUAGUAAAAAUGAGGUGAUUUUAAGCUGAUAAUUUGUAGUUUGGUCCAAGUUAGUAGCAGAACAAUAUUGUCAUAAACUUUCUACUUAGCCCAACCUGGUUGACAUCUUUUAUUCGAGAGCUUUUCUUAUAGUCAGUGUAAUUAUAUGUUCAUUGCUCCAGUCAGUGCCACACUUCUACAGCUUGAUAGUUAUUCUCUUUUGCCAGAUUUCCUCCAAAUUUGCUGCAAAAGCUUGGCACAGAUCGCCUAGUCAUGCAAAACCAUUGUGUGAGUUUCAUGGCUCCUUUCAUUUAUAUUUUAAAUUAGUUGCACGUGUAAGUGUUUGUCUUUUGCUUCUCUAGUAUGUCCGCUUUGGAUCAUUCCUAAAACCUUGAACUGAUAAUGAAGGAUCUAAAUUCUGAUUUAUUCAAUGUUUUCAUUUUUUUUUCAAUUUUUGUUGCCACUGGUUGCCUGUUUCCUCUAUUUGGCACUUUUAACAGCUUCCUACUUGUUAGCUUGUGCAGAUUAUUAUUUGAGAGAUGAAAUGUAUUUUAAUGCACAGUAAAUUGUUCAUGCGUUCUGUUCUCCUAAUAUGUAAUUUGAUUUCCUUGAACCUCAUUCUUGGUCUCUAAAAGCCUAACUUAGAAGAAAACUCAACAGGCAAGAUGUCGUGCUAAGAGUAGAGACCUGUCAAAGAAGAAAAAUGCUAAUAUUUCUUCAGAGUUAAGGAUAAUAUAUCCCUAUUCAAAAGUUAUCUUUCUUUCAUGUGCGUAUUAAGAGAAUCCUUGCCGCCCUCCUUUGUGGCACAUUGUCUGUGUUAUGUUUCUAUGUACAAGCUAAUUAGCAUUGCCUAAAAUCAAUGUCUAAUUGUAACAGUGGGGCAUUUCACCAGAGAAGCUUCAAAAUACUCCAAAUCUGUCCAGAUUCUUCAAGAUCUUAACAACAAGCACAGAUAAAAAUAACAAGGUUCUGAAUCUUACAAUCCCUAUGCCAUAGGAAGUGUCUUAACUUGAUUUAUCUCAUUACAUUUUAUGGCUGCUGUAAAUGUCCUUAUUUCUAUUUAAGUGUUAAUAACAGGUAUAUGUCUCCACUGCACAAGCACAUCGCUAUCCUGUCACUGCCUUCCAGUGGCAUCCAGAGGUACCUCUUUUAGUGCUUUCUGAUCAUCGUCAUGUUUAUGCCUCAGUACAGUUUGGCAUGGCAAUUUUAAUUUUUCUUGUUAAAUAAUAAUCAUAUCAAUGACCACUACAAGGAAUUGGUGUCCUUUUUUUCCCUAUUAACUUCUUUGUGUAUCUCUGCUUCUGUUUCUCUUACUCCUUUUAAUUUUGUUUGCAAAACUGUAGUGUUAUUCUAUGAUCCACUAAUACACUCCAUUUCAUUAUGAAUAGUCUGACCAUAUAUUUUGCAGAAAAAUGCUUUUGAAUCGGGCUUGUCUAUGAUUCCACACUCAGACGACGCCAUUGAAGUGACACAACAUGUUGCAAACUUUUUCAUCAGGUUAGGAAUGUUAAGUAAGGAAGUUAUUAAUAGUUCUCUAUAUUCUUACAAUUUAGUCAACGACAAACUGAGCGAAUGUUAUAUUCGAGUGAGACACAAUCUUGCUCUUCAGCAUAUUAUUUGGGUUUUGGGCAGCUGUUCCUAUGUGGAUAUGCUUUGCUUCGUCCUAGAGCAUAUGUAAGGAAGAAAUGUUUAAAGGAACUUAGAUAAAUUUUAGGAUAUAAACAAUAUAAGAAUAUAAAUAGUUUAGCAUGAAAGGAGAAGGAAAGGAAAUAGGCAAAAUUCAUUUUCAGCAUGCUAUACUACAAGUAGUUUUUCUGGCUGAGAAUGAAAUGCCCGUGGUUUUAUGAAUAUAAGAAAGAGGAAAGGAAAGAAAAUGCGUAUUUCUAAUUAUGUGACAGACUAGAGGUGAGGUAUUUGUGUUCGCGGCAUAAGAAUUUGAGUUCAAACCCUAACAUUGUUUCGCCCUACCAAAUUAUAAAAAAUAAAUACCAUCUCUUUCCUUCGUCUGUUUGGAAGAUGAGGUAAUUGAACUUUUCUUUUUUCUGGUACAGAGAGGCUAGGAGAUCACUGAAUAGGCCAGCUGCUCAAAAAGUGCGUGACAGCCUUAUUUAUAAUUACAGGCCCAAGUAUUAUGGGAAAGCUGGGUAAGCUGAUAUCAAUCCUUUUGAGUUUUGACACUAUUAGGACACCAUCCUCUUGAAUGUAAGCUGAUUGACAUGGUUGUGAAUUUGAAUGCUGUAGGAAGGGUUUCGAUCAGGUCUACAUCUUUACACAACGUCAAGCUCGAAAUUGAUAGAGUUGCGGCCGUGUACAUAGUUAAAGAUGUAUGUGGUUGGAUGUAUGUAUAUUGUUGACGCUGUAUUUGCAUUGUGAUUUGUAUCUGAUUGCUCUCUUAAUUUAUAUAAGCUACGGACUGGAUGCUUGCCAAUGAGGUGUAUGAGUAGUUAUUGUUGAUGAACAAAGUUUGCAAUGCUUAUUCUUAUUAGCUCAAAUUCUAAAAAUGAUAAUGAUUAAAGUAUAAUCUGUUACUUGUGUUAUAAAUAAGCUUGAAUACUUUACCAUAGAAAUAGGGUUUAAGCUUAAAAAUACAUUCUUUUUGUGUGAGAUAAAUAUAAAAAGAACUGGAUUUGUAUUUGAUGCGGUUUAUGACAUGCUAUUGAAAAUAAGUGUAAAUUACAUAAAUGUCAAUCGACUAUUAUAAUUUUUGUUAGAUUAUUCGAAUUUAAAAAGUUUCAAAAUAAUCAUUUAAUUUAUUAAAUUUAUUAUAUCCAAAACUGUUAUAAAUUAGUAACAGUCGAAUGGUGUGUUGUUAACUUAAUGAUAUGUUUUUUUAACCCAUUAACUUUUUUUCACAUUAUUUCCAUGUCAUAUUAUAAUUUAAAAAAAAAACUAAUUUAAACUCCAAAAUUCCAAUAUGACAUGGAAAUGUGGAAUAAAAUUAAUGAUUAAAAAGACAUAUCGUUAACAGCCACGUCAGCAGAUUAUUAGUAAUUUAACAGUUUUGAACUUAAAAAAAAUGAUUUUGAUAGUCUGAUAAUCAUUUUAUAAUUUUUAAAAAUCAAAUAAUUUAAAUAUAUAUAUAAUAAUCGGAUAGCCAUUUAUUAUGUAGUUUGCCAAAGUAUUUUAUCAAUUGGAAGAUGAAGCAGUAAACCAAUAAAUAUGUUGAAUAGUCUCCAAUUAAACCAUUUAAGAUAUAAAUCCCAAUAAGUUCAAUUAAUGGCUCUAAUCAACUUUACAAGAAAUAGUUCUUGACAAUUUGAAGGGUGAAUAAUGAAUUUUCAGAACUCUUUAAAGAAAAUCGAGAAGAAAACUACUUUUAAGAAUCAGAAGAAAAAAAUCUUACACAAAAAAACUAACUCUAAACACCUAAAGUACAUCUAAAUAAAACUCUAAUUAAUCUAAAUAGGGGUGAAGCCAUAAAUUUUUUAGGGAGCCAAAAUUAAAUUGUAAUUUCUACAAUAGUAAAAAUGUAAUUUCACCAUUUUAAUAACUUAUAUCUUUAUAAUUUUUAAAGGGUUAAAUCAAAUUUUUAUUAUUUUUAGGGGUCAUAAAGUGUAAUUUUACAUUUAUUAAUUUAAAUUUUUUAAAAUUUUAAAGGGUCUAAAUGAUUUUUUUUUUCAUUUUAAGGGAGUCAAUGCCUUGUCAUCUCCUAGCUAGCGUUUGAAUCUAAAUAAAAAAUAGUUUUAAACUAAAUUUUCUUAUUUAACUCAAAAUACUUGGCCUGCAAUAAUUUUUCUUGACAAAAAGAUCCUCCAAAUAUUAUUUAUAAAUUUGUAUUUGAUACGUUGAUAGUGUUUUUUUUAUUCUAUAAAUAGUUUUAAAAUUUUAUCAUAUAUCUAUUUUAAAAAAAAUUUAUUUAGUUUUAAUAUUUUAUUGUACACCUAUGAUAACACUUGUCAACCCUUAAUCCUAUUUAUAAAAUCUAAAAAUUUAGUAACAAUUAACCAAAUAUUUCUCAUUAUUUAUUAAACUUAAUUAAAUAAUAGGUUAUCUAGUAUUUUUGAGUUAGCUAUCUAUUUUCUUAACCAAAUAUUUAAAUUACCAUUAUGGACCUAUGUAGUUUUUUUUUAUAUAGGUAGACAACACCAUAAAGUAAUUACAUUCUUAAAGUACUAUUAACAUAGAGAAAUGAUAUUACGCUCAGCUAUUAGUAUAUUUCUCACUGGAAUCUCUCAAAAUAAUUGUACAUUACCUAAUCCAUGUGAAGCUAUCUUGGUUAUAUGAUCAGCAAUUUUAUUUUUAGAAUCUCUCAAUUUGCUAUUAGCCAUUCCACCAAUUAAAAUUAAUUCUACUAGAAGCGCAUUGUCGCAUUUAGUAUUUUUAAUUAUAAAAAAUAAAUUUAAUGUUAAAUAAAAAUUACUAUUUAAUAUUAUAUUUCCUCUCUCCUCAUAUACAUGUUCUUCCUUUCCGAUUCCGUCAUUUUCAUCCCUUUUCUCAUUCAUCUUCAUUCAUGCAGGUUGAAAGGUUUUUUCUUUUUCUCGUUAAGCCAAUGACAUGAAAUUUGGGUUUUUAUAUUGAUGGAGGAGAACCGUUUCUGGGUUGAAAACUAUAAAUUUUGGACUUCUAAACUUGAAAAACCUAUGGCUACGCUUUGAUAGCACCAUUUGUGGAUGAGGUGUUGAAGCAAAAAUCCUUUAUUAAAAAAAGUUUGGGACUUUGAUUUUUUUUUCAAAAGAGUUCUUUUUAUUUUCUUUAAUUGUAAAAAAACAAAGAAACUGUGUUGGGGCAAGAAAAAGAAAAGCUGGAGAAGAUUGAAAGGGUCUUUGUUUAUAUGCAGAAUAUUCAAAGAAAUAAUUUGAAUCAUUUCCCAUCCAAUUUUAUAAAAAUAAUUAUUUUAACCUUCUAUUUAUUAUUUUAAUCACUUUUUAAUUUUUAAAUUUAUAAUAUUUAUCAAAUUAUUCUAAAAUAAAUAAAAAAUUUAACAUCGGUUACUUUUGCUAAAAUGGUAUACGCGCCACUUAAAUAUCACAUCAUCAAUUAAUUUUUUUUUAAAAUUUAAGUUUCAAAAUUUAUUAAAAGUGUUUUAAAAUAUUAAAAAUAAAAAAUAUUUUUUAAUAUUAAAAAAUUAAUUAAUUACUAAUGUGACAAUUAUAAAUGCACACGUUGAUUACCAUAUCAACAAUGUUACAAAAGCUCAAUGGAGGGCUAAAAUGCAAGUCUAGUGUUACUAAUCUCACAUUGCUAAUAUAUAUAAAGUACAAAGAAUUUGAAUAGACAAUUCAUUAUAACUUGAGUAAUUGAGUUGGGUGCAAUUAGAUAGUUAACUUAUUGAGUUUUACGUAUAUUUGUUAUAAUGACAACUGGGCUUAAAUUUGGUGGUGUAAAUAAUUUUUAUAUAUAAUAAUUAUUUUUAUUUUUUAAAAUAAUAAAUUUUUAUUCGCAUUUGAACGAAUUUAUUCAAAUAAUCUAUGUUAAAAUUUACAGUAUCAAAUUUUACCUAACAAAAGGAAAAGAUUAUUUAUGACCAUAUAAGUUAUUUAAGAUUCUAAAUCAGGAAUUUUUCUUUCCAAAAAUAGAUUCACGACUGUCUAUUUUUUUUAACCGAAUUUUAAAACACACACACACCCAAGUAUUUUUAAUUAAAUAUAUAUAUUUAAUAUUAUAUUUCCUCUCUCCUCAUAUUCAUAUUCUUCCUUUCCUAUUCCUUCAUUUUCAUCCCUUUUCUCAUUCAUCUUCAUUCAUGCAGGUUGAAGGUUUUCUUUUUCUCAUUAAGCAAAUGACAUGAAAUUUGGGUUUUUGUUUUGAUGGAGGAGAACCGUUUCUGGGUUGAAAACUGUGAAUUUUUGGACUUCUAAACUUGAAAAACCUAUGGCUACGCUUUGACAGCACCAUUUGCAGGAGGAGGUGUUGAAGCAAAAAUCUUUUAUAAAAAAAUGAUAGGGACUUUGAUGUUUUUCAAAAGAGUUGUUUUUUAAAAUUGUAAAAAAAACAAAGAAAACUGUGUUGGGGAAAGAAAAAAAAAAGCUGAAGAAGAUUGAAAGGUUGUUUGCUUAUAAGCACAUUGUUAAAAAAAAAAUGUUUGAAUUAUCUCCUCAUAAAAAUUAUUUUUACUUGUACGAGUUCAUAAAAUUAGUACAAAUUAUCAUCAAAAUUCAGGCUAACUUAUCAGAACUUUGUUUCAUACAUGCUCAAUCUUUUGAAUACUCAAUUGAUUAUGUUUGAUUUUUGUUUGAAGAAAAUAUUCAUCGAGUAAUGAUUAAUAUAGAUACCCAUUAACUUUAUUAUAACUAAAUCUUCUUUUAAAAAAAUAUUCACAAAAUGCAAAAAUAACUAUUAAUAAACUUUAUUGGAAAAUUAAGCAUGUGUAUAAAUAUUUAUCAAAGACAUUGCUAGAAAGCAAACCUCAUGUUUAUUUUAGUCAAUUCAACAACUGCCUCUUCAUCGAACUCGUUCCAUAUCCCUUAAUAACGUCACUUUGAUCUUCUUUAACUUUGUAACAAUCUCUUUCAUAUGAAGCCUCUCAUUUGGUAACUCUACACAACAUUCUAAGCCAACUUGCAAAAUGGAUAAGGCACAAUUCUUGACUUUUAAAUCUUCCCUUCCAAUGGUGCUCAACAACUUGGGAUCUACAACUUGAUUUCGCGAAGAUGAUAUCGACUCUAUCACCCAACUCUUCAAGCUUCUUUCUCCUGCAAACAUUUCAUCUGUGGGCUUUUUUCUUGUGAUGAUUUCCAUCAAAAGAAUACCAAAACUAUACACAUCACCUUUUGUCGAAACAAUUCCUUCCAUUCCAUAUUCUGUAUGAAUAUAAAACAACAUUAUGAAUAUUCAAAGAUAUCUUGAUAAUGAAAAUUUCCUAUAAAAUAUCUCAAACAUUAUAUGCUUGCCUGUUAUAAUUGAACUAGGAUUUACUCUAGUUGCUUCCUUAAAAAGUCACAUUCAAUGUGUUUGAAACUCAAAUGUUAACAAAUAUAUAUGAUCCCUUUUGUUAUGCACAUUCUACACUUCCAUUGAAAAUGGAAAAAUAAAUAUGGAGUUUGAUUAGAAGUAUCACCUGGUGCCAUAUAUCCAAAUGUUGCCAUUGUCAUGGUUUGUAUCAUUGAAACCUCUUCACAUAAGAGUUUCGCGAUGCCAAAAUCACUCAAAUGUGCAACCAUAUCUUCAUCUAAUAGAACAUUGUUGGGUUUUAAAUCACAGUGAAUCACGGGUGUUGCAUUGCCGUGAUGGAGAUAUUCCAAUGUAGAUGCAACAUCUAUCAUUAUGUUCAACCUUUGUAGGAUAUCCAAAUAUUGGUUGUUGGAAUACAGCCAUUUAUCAAGACUCCCAUUAGGCAUGAACUCAAGCACCAACGCUUUGAAAUUAAGAUCAUUAGAGCAACUGCUUAUUACUUUGACUAAAUUUCUGUGACGAGUGUUGCGGAGAACAUCACAUUCAACAUCAAAGCUCUUAAAAGCUCCUUCUAACUCAAACUUGAAGACCUUUACCGCAAUGAUCGUCCCAUCCGGGAGAGUCCCUUGGAAUACUGCACCAUAACUUCCAUUACCAAGCAACCUACUAUCAUUGAAUCCAUCAGUAGCUUGACGAAGCUCGUGGUAUGAAAAUCGUCUCCACGUUCCUAAAGGUAUCAUGUCUUCUUGAGUUGGCAAUUUGUCUUUCCUCCUCCUAUUUUGCAAGAUAAUGAUAAUCAGAGCCACAACCAAAAUUGUGGAGGCAAUUGGCAAAGCUACAUAUAGUAUGAGCUUAGUUUUUGCCUUGGAAUUUCUAAGAGGUCUAGUUUUGCAGUUUGGAACAUGAAGCCGAGCUGCACCACACAAGGCUUCAUUCCUCUUAAAUGAUUCGAUUGUGUAGUUUUCAAAUGAUCCUCCUUCAGGAAUUUCACCUUCAAGCCUAUUAAAAGAGACAUUGAAAUAUUUGAGAUAACGGAGUUUCUCUAAGGAUUUGGGAAUCUCUCCAAAUAGAUUAUUUCUUGACAAGUCCAAGAAUUCCAAACUCAACGAUUCAUCAAAAGACUCAGGAAUAGAACCCGUGAUUCUAUUAUUGGAUAAGGAAAAAUGAGUGAGGUCCUUGAGAUCUGCAACUCCAGUUGGGAUAUCACCUGAGAACUGAUUGUUCGACAAAUCCAAACUACUCAAAACUUUCCAUUUUCCAAUGUCAAUUGGCAGUGGACCACUCAGAGAAUUUGAAGACAAGUAUAGGAUGAGGAGAUAGUUAAGCCUUGUCAACGUUGACGGUAUUGAAGAGGAAAACAUAUUGGAGUCUAGAAAUAGUUGCCUUAAUGAAGUGAGAUCACCUAAGCAAGUAGGUAUUGGCCCAGACAAUUUGUUAUUGGUUAAGAACAAGAAAGCCAAUUUGUUUAGAUGACAUAACUCAGUUGGGAUGGAUCCCUCUAACUUAUUGUCCUUAAGAGAAAGACUUUGCAACUCUUCCAAUCCUCCAACUGUAGUAGGAAUCUGUCCUAUCAAUUUAUUGCCUCCUAGCUCAAGGCUUAUCAAGUGACUUAAGUUUCCAAUUUCACUGGGGAUGCUACCCCUGAUGUUGCAUGCAGAAGCAGAGAACUCUUCAAGAGAACUUGAGAGAUUUCCUACCACUCUUGGAAGUUCACCACUAAUAAAUGAGUUGAUCUCGAAAAAAAGGUUCUCCAAGACUCUACAGUUUGUCAAAGAAAAGAGAAAGCUCAUUCCUGAGGAAGUUAAAUUAUUAUUCGCCAGGUUGAGAAUCUUUAAAUUUCUUAGAUUUCCCAGAUUAUCAGGAAUGGACCCUGAAAAGUAAUUACUAGACAUGUCAAGAAGAGUAAGCUGAGAGGCAUUGGAAAUAUACAUUGGGAUCGAGCCGGCAAGGUGAUUGAAACCAAGAUAUAGUUCCUCCAUGUUUGGAAGGAAAAGGCCCAUGUUUGAUGGAAGAUGGCCAGAGAGCUUAUUUGUAGCCAAAGAAAUCAUCCUUAGAGUUGAAAUAUUGAACAGUUGUGGAGGAAUAGAACCAGCAAUAUUGUUAAAUUGUAAAUUCAACCAAUUUAGAUUCUUUAGGUUGCCAAUCUCUUGUGGUAUUAUACCUGCCAUAAAUUUUAUCAAACAAAAAUAUUAGACAAAUAUGAGGAAGAAAAUAGUUUAUAUAUAUGAAACAUUUGCUUAUAUUUUUUAUAAUGUGUACAAUUAUAGACAAUUAGAAUCAACAAUAUUUACAAAAAAAAAUUAAUUCACAAUAAGUUUAAAUUGAAUAUUUUAGGUUUAAAGUUGGAAUAAGUUCAAAAUGAGAAGGGAUUGUAUGAAAUUGUGAUUCCACGUCAUGAUCAGAUUUUUCCUCCUAUUUUUAGCUUUUUCUUCUUGAAAAAAUUAAAAUCUAACUAAAAAAAGUUGAAAAUCAGGAGGAAAAAUCUGAUUUAUCAUUCUCCUAUUGGAAAGGAAUAAAAAUGACGUGGAAUCACAGUUUUAUACAAUCACUUCUCGUUCAAGAUAUAGAAAAUAAUGAUGAAAUAAAUGAUAAAGAACAAACAUUCAUAAGUCAAAUAAAAUAAUUAAGAACAUAAAAAUAAAUCAAAUAUGAUUUUUGGUUCCUUGAAGUUUUGUUUGGCCUCAACAGGGAUAAACGUAAAUAAUGGACUUAAAAAAAAAAGAAAUAUACUAAUUGCAAUAACUAUGAAAAAUUUUAUAAUUAUUGUAGAAUAAUCAAAACACAGAAAGCGGUUGAGCAAAAACAAAGUUCAAAUUAAUAAAAAGCUAUCGGUAAAAGUUGCAAAUUAAUAAAAAUAAUUUAGCUCUUUCUUAUACAUUCACCUGUAAAAUUGCUAUGGGAACAAUCAAACUCCAUAAGAAGAGUUAAAUUCACAAUUUGUUUAGGAAUUUCACCUGCAAUUAUAAAAUUCACAUUUCAAAUUCAAAAUUCAUCUCCUAGCAACGAUUAUAAGAAUAAAAUUAAGGUAUAAUGACUUGUUUAGCUCUUCAAUUUUAUUAAAAAGAAUCAUUUUAGUCUUUCAUUUAAUUUUUCAUCUCUUUUAGCUCUUAAACUUGCGAUGUUUGUCAAAUCAUCCCAAAAUGAAUUGAAAAUUCCAUGUGAUUGCCACAUCAACAAUUAGUUUUUUAAAUUUUAAAAAAUUCUAUUUUAUUGCUAACGUGUCAGCAAAGUAAACAAACAUUAACUUUUUCAUACAUUUUUUUGGGCUGAUAUAACAAAUAAUACAAGUUCAAGAGCUAAAAGAAAAGGAAAAUUAAAUAAAUAGUUAGAAUGACUUUUUUUUAUAAAGUUGAAGGGCUAAAUAAAUAAUUAUUCCUAAAGUAAAUAAAGCACGUUAGCAAGGUAUUUCACACAUACACACUUCCAAGCCAAGUUGGAACUAAAAGUAUAUUUCUCUCAUCAUUUUCAUGUAGUUUAUUCUUCAAUGUUCUUUUGAAAAAUUUCAACUAUGUAUUCGUUUAAUAAAUAAAUUUAUAUUUUCAAUCUCAAUAGAAGAUUGAUCUAAAUUAUUAUAGUCAUUACCUUAAUUUCAUUAAAAAAAAAUCGUUCCUUGCAUCUCAAAGUACUUAAAAAAAAGUAAACACUUCAAAAGGUUUUAAAAAUGGUUAGCAUAUGUUACCAUCAAAGUGGUUCCGACUGUUAGAAUUGUGUGACCCAAAUUCUAAGAGAUUGCUUGCAAGUCAAGUUAAACAAAAAUAUAUUUUCUUUCUAGAAGAUUUAGUAUUUAUUAGUAUAAAUAUAUUUAGCAUUUAUUAGUAUAGUUUAUUUGACUUGCUAAUUUAGCCUAUAAAUAGGCUCCUUUACAAUCUUAGAAUUAGAGAGACACCCAUUAGAUUAGAACUCAUAACACAUUCAGAGAAUUUUGUGUUUACGUUUGAGGGUUCUUUGUUUUUCGGGUUUUCGGGGUUUAGUUUUUAUCUCCAUCUUUUGUACUCUUCAUUUUUUUGCCAUUAUAGUAAAAUUAUCUUUGCCCGUAGUUUUUUAUCCUCUUUUGAGGGGUUUUCCACGUUAAAUUUGUGUGUUCAUCUUCUCAAUUUCUUCUACUAUUUUUACUUGUUCGUUGCUUAAUCGGGACGAUCCUAACAAGUGGUAUCAGAGCUAGUUUAACUUUCAUAGAUCAGCCCGGUCAGAGAUGGCAGCAACAAGGUUUGAAAUUGAGAAGUUCGAUGGUGAGACAAAUUUCAAUCUGUGGCAAGUUCGGAUGAUGGCAAUUCUAGUUCAAAAUGGCUUGAAAAAGGUUGUUACAGAGAAAAAGCUUGAGAAUCUAAAUCAAACAGAAUGGGAAGAGCUUGAUGAAAAGGCCUUGUCUGCAAUCCAGUUGUGCCUCGCGAAUACAGUAUUGCAGGAGGUAUUGAUGGAGAAUACCUCAUUCGCCUUGUGGAAAAGGUUAGAAACUCUUUAUGCGACUAAGUCUCUGGCUAACCGUUUAGUGUUGAAACAACAUCUAUUUACGUUUCGCAUGAACGAAUGUGAGCUUCUUAAAGAUCACAUCAGUCAAUUCAUUACUCUUUUAAAUGAUUUAAAGAACGUUGAGGUUCAUAUUAACGAUGAAGAUCAAGCUAUGCUAUUAUUGUGCUCUUUACCCUCUUCAUACAAGUCUUUCAGGGAGACCCUGAUUUAUGGCAGAGACAAACUCUCGUUCGAAGAUGUGAAGGGUUAUUUGUUGAGUAGAGACAAACUCGACAAUGAGUUUGAUUUGAAUAGCAAAGAAGAUAGACAAGCUUCCGUUUUGGUAGCAUCAAAGAAACGAGACAAAAUGUGUUGCUAUUGCAAAAAGUUAGGUCACGUCAAAGCAAAUUGUUAUAAACUGCGAAAUAAAAGAGCUGCUGAGAGUAACGAGGAAGAUGUAGCUGGUGCUAAUUUGGUCGAUGAAGGCGGUGAUGAUUUCUUGUUAGUGUCAACGAGCGAUAACUCCAAGCUUACGUCUGAGUGGAUCCUAGAUUCAGGAUGUUCUUUCCACAUGUGUCCCAAUAGAGAAUGGUUCUCCACAUACAGUUCAGUUGAAGGUGGAGUUGUGCACAUGGGAAACGAUUCAUCUAGUAAAAUAAUCGGUAAUGGUACUGUUAAAAUUAGGAUACACGAUGGGACGAUUAGGACACUCUCAGAUGUCAGGUAUGUACCUGAUUUACGAAAGAAUCUCAUCUCCUUGAGUAUUUUAGACUUGAAAGGAUGCAGAAUCAACAUCGAGUCGAGCGACAUUAAAGUAUCUCGUGGAGCUCUCGUUUUGUUAAAAGGUAAAAGAACCGGCAGUCUUUAUAUUCUGGAAGGUUUUACAGUGACCGGUGAAAUCGGACGUCCCUCAUCCGUUACAGAGUCAAAGUCAACUCAUUUGAAGCGGAGGCAACUUGGUCAUAGGAGGGAAAAAGGUAUGACCGUUUCGUUGAAGAGAGGUUCUCUUUUGGAUGCAGGUUUUGAAAAGUUAGGGCACUGUAUUCGUGAAAUUCAGACCCGGGUUAGUUUUGAUUUGGCAGUGCACAAGUCAAAGGCUAGAAGUCUUCCAGCUUCUAAGCAUAGAUUCGACUCAGUUAAUUCCCUGCAUAGUUCAAGAUAGGCCCGUGGCGGGUUUUGGCAAAGAUGGCAUUGAAAGAAUUUGUGUCAAGAUGGAGAUUGUUAGAAUUGUGUGACCCAAAUUCUAAGAGAUUGCUUGCAAGUCAAGUUAAACAAAAAUAUAUUUUCUUUCUAGAAGAUUUAGUAUUUAUUAGUAUAAUAUAUUUAGCAUUUAUUAGUAUAGUUUAUUUGACUUGCUAAUUUAGCCUAUAAAUAGACUCCUUUACAAUCUUAGAAUUAGAGAGACACCCAUUAGAUUAGAACUCAUAACACAUUCAGAGAAUUUUGUGUUUACGUUUGAGGGUUCUUUGUUUUUCGAGUUUUCGGGGUUUAGUUUUUAUCUCCAUCUUUUGUACUCUUCAUUCUUUUGCCAUUAUAGUAAAAUUAUCUUUGCCCGUAGUUUUUUAUCCUCUUUUGAGGGGUUUUUCCACGUUAAAUUUGUGUGUUCAUCUUCUCAAUUUCUUUUACUAUUUUUACUUGUUCGUUGCUUAAUCGGGACGAUCCUAACACCGACCAAUAUAGAUGUAUUGAAGCAUACUCAAAUUCCCAAUUUCUAUUGGUAGGCUCCCCUCCAUUUGGUUAUACGCUAAAGAUAACAUUUGUAACUCUUUGCACUUGAAUAGACUGGCAGGAAUUCUACCAGAAAGCAGGUUACGACUCCAGUACAAUCCUUUCAAAUUUGGAAGAUGAUCAAACAUAUCUUUUGGGAUAUGACCAGUGAGAUUAUUGGAGGAGAAAUGGAUGACUUCUAGCAAAAGUAAAUCACGUGGAACAAAGGGUAUGGAACCAGAAAGCAUAUUGUAGCUUAGAUAUAUUUCUUGCAACGAAGAGAUAUUGAAGAUGGUGGAGGGAAUUGAACCUGAAAUCUGGUUUCCAGACAAAUACAAGACCUCUAGCUUUGACAAAUAGGCUAAAGAGAAUGGAAUAACACCUUUGAAGUUGUUUUGGUCCAAAAACAACCUUCGAAGUUCAGUUAAUGAUCCCAACCAUGAUGGGAUUUCUCCAUUGAAGGAGUUGUUACCAAAGCUUAAAUAUUUCAGCCGUCGCAAAUUGGAUAACUGGACAGGUAAUCCGCCAUAGAAACUAUUGUUUGUGACAUGAAGAAGAGAAAGGAAUGAUAAAUUUCCCAAGUGAGGUGGAAGGGUGCCUACGAGUCCCAACCUAGUAAGGUUUAGAGCUGUGACUCUACGGUGCUUGGAUCUACAACUUACACCAAACCAAUUGCAAAUAGGGGCAGAGGCUGACCAGUUAGUCGUCAAGACAUUUUCAGGAUCCUGAAUAACAUGAUCUUUUAGUGCUAGAAGAGCUGACUGAUCUCUAAGUAUGGUUGUUAAUUUCAUAGAGAAAGUAGGCAUAGAGAAAUGGAAGAUGAUAAGAAGAGCUAAGUUGAGGAAAGUAUUCCCCAUUUGAAUUUGGGUGUUUAUGAAGCUACCAACAAAGGCAGAACGGAGAUUGCUAGACAGAUAAUUGAAUGAUCACUAACCGUAUGACCACACAACUUUUACAUAAUACGUGUAUGUAUAUAUAAAGGGAGUUUAUGUUGUAAUUUCUUCAUGCAAGAUUGCAAAUUAAUAUGAUUUACUUAGAAAUUACGGAAUUUAUUAUAAGACGUGAUAAUAUAAUUAUGUAAUUAUUGCUUAAAAUUUUUCUUUCUAAAUUUCAUAUUUCUUAAGAAAUUACAGUAAUAAAUUUUACAUAGAAAUAACAUUAACAUUAUUGUCAGUACAGGAGAAUGUGAAUUUGAAUGCAUUGAAACACAUUUAUCUUCUUAUAUAAGUAUUAGCAAAAAAAAUUAUGUAUAGUUCUAGACAUGUUAUAAAAAGAAUUUGAUAUAACAAGAUUUAGAAAAUAAUUUGCAUUAUUUAUUUUAGGAAAUUAUUGAAUAAAGAGAUCAAGAAUUUUCAAUUUAAAAAAUUUUAAAUUUAAAUCAUAACAGGAGAAGGAGUUUAGUUACUUUACAAUUAUCCAAGAUGGAUUAAAUUUGGUUUUAUAUCUAAGAUAUCAAAACCGUAAUUAGGUUAUGAUAAGCAUUAAACUAAAUUAUUGGAAUAAAAAUAUAGGUGAAAUUAUUAAUAAAAGCCGUUUUUUUUCAAAAUUUACUGAAAUGGGCUGAUUUUUUUAUUAUUUACCGGAAUGGUCUAUUUUCCGGGAAAUCGCAUCCACGUCAGAGCGAUGUCAGGGUACGUGUCAGGACAUUGCGUCCACGUCAGCGCGACCUGCUUACGUGGAAGGAAAUCGUGUCCUUGAGGGAGCGAUUUCCUUCCACGUCAGCAGGUCACGCUAACGUGGACGCGAUGUCGGCCGCGUGUGAACAGUACCCCAACGGUCAAAAAUUUGACCGUUGCCCCCCCAACGGUAAAAAAAAAACUAUAAAUACCCCCACCCCUUUUUUUUUUCACAAACAAAUCCUAUCUUCGAUUUCCUUCCAAAAUUCUCUCAAACCCAUAUUUAAUUUCAAUUUCCUCUCAAUUUCCUUCCAAAAUUCUCUCAAAUCCAUAUUUAAUUUCAAUUACCCCUCAAUUUUAUUUUUUAAAAUAAUUUUUAUAUUUUUAUAUUUUUUAAAAUAAUUUUUAUAUUUUUAUAUUUUUUAAAAAUAAUUUUAAAUUUUUUAUAUUUUCAUCAAUGGCCGGAUCAUUGAUUCGUCUUGAUAGGAUUCACAUAUCGGUGGAGCAAAUGAAAAUGGUAAGCAUUAAAUUUAAUUUUUAAAUAUUAUUUAAGAUUUUUUUAUUUAUGUAUUUUUAGAUAAUUAUUAAUUUAUUAUUUGUUAUAAAAGUCUGCAGAUCAGAUAUUGGAAUGCAAUAUCCGGAAUAUGCAUGCUCCUCCAUCACCGUUAGUAGAGAACUACUUGUGGGAAGCGGGUUUUUGGCACGUGGCGACGGUAGUCCGGGGAUGCAAGUUGGACCCGAAACUGAUUAGUGCGUUGAUCGAGAGGUGGAGACCCGAGACGCACACAUUCCAUCUUCCAUGUGGAGAGUGCACUAUCACUCUAGAAGAUGUCAGUCUGCAGUUGGGAUUGCCGGUGGACGGGCACCCAGUCACUGGGUCUGCCCAAUCUAGUAAUUGGGAGGCAGUGUGCUACGAGCUUUUGGGCGCUAUUCCGGAUAAAAUGGAUGGAGGUAAGGUCGAGAUGGGCUGGUUACGUGCCACCUUCCCCGAUCCGAAUGCAAAUUCAACUGAAAUUGAAAGAAUCUGAUAUGCUCGAUCAUACAUUUUUCAAAUAAUUGGAGGUUAUCUGAUGCCCGACACAUCACAGAGCCGUGUACAUCUAAGGUGGCUGCUAAAACUCGUUGAUUUUAGAGGAGCUGGUGAAUUUAGUUGGGGGUCUGCCGUCUUGACAACAUUAUAUCGGGAGAUGUGCGAUGUGACGCGACCGAGGAGAGAAAACAUCGGAGGUUGCCUGUCACUACUGCAAUCAUGGGCACGGUUUCGCUUUCCAUUUCUACAUCCUCGAGUGAACCACCCAUAUACAUUCCCACUCGUAACGAGGUAAAUUUUAUAUUACAUUUUGGAAUUAUUAUGUAGAUUUUGUAAGAAUAAAACUAUGCUAAAUAUUUAUUUAAUUAGGUGGAACCAUCAGGCAAGUUAUCGAGGAUUACCGUCUGAACUUGAAGAUAUACGGCUUCUAUUGGAGCAACGGUCGGAAGCAGAAGUAAGUAUUAUUGCAAAUAGAUAUUUCUAUACAUUCGCUAGUCGAUUGAUAUUUAGUAUUUAGUAUUUAGUAUUAUGUAUAUAACUAAUAUUUCUAUCAUGUUCAUAUAGUUUCAAUGGACACCAUACGAGGAUCCGGCAAUUCGAGUAGUAAUCUAGGAAGAGUUUUUACAAAAUCUGAACGCUUGGCACGCGAAAGUGGUGUUGAUCAACUAUGCAACCGUGGAGCCCCACCAGACAGACAGAGUGCUACGACAGUUUGGAUGUAGACAACCGAUUCCUGCGGACCUUGAGGUGUUUGACGAUCACCACAAAAUCGACCUUCGGCUAUUAGGUAUGGAUUGGCCUAGAUACUGGUCCGAGUACACACAAAUGUGGGAAAAUCGGCUUGAAUAUCUACCUACUCGGGAAGAAAUCAUCGUUCCGGAGUUAGCGUGCGUUCCAGAAUACAUGCCAUAGUUUAGGAUCCAUGGCAAGCCGUAUUUACUUAAGCCAGAGGAUAGGCAGCGGCAAAUACGUGUCGGCAGGGAAAGGCGCGGGCCUCUAAAUCCAAGACAAGAAUACUACGAAGGCAGCCCCUCAACGAGGCCCAGACAGUCACCGGCUCAUCAUCAGCAGCCAUGCAAUCACCGUCCCUAAUGAGAGCACCGACGCAGUCACCUGGCGCAGCAAUUCAACAGAUGAUACCCACGCAACCGCCUUUCCCUAUGAUGCCAGGUGUGUUUCCUAGCCCUUAUAUGUACCCUAACCCUUACAUGUAUCCUUUUCCGAAUCCUAUGGCAGGUUGGAGCCAAAUGCCCGGUUCAGCUCCAUUUCCUGUUAUGCCGAGCGGACCGUCGAUAUCUAGGCCAGCGGCGCAGGAGGGAUCGCAAGGGGGGCCGUCGGGGAGCUCUCCUUUUUACCAAUCGCCACCAACGUAUGGCUUUCAAACACCGUUGUCGUUCAUGAUGCAAACACCUCCACAUACACUAUUCUUUGAAGGUGGAUCAUCGUCCCAAGUCCGACAACCAGAUGCCGAACCGGAAGAACCACAAUCACCACCGAAGGAAGAACAACCGCCGCCGGAAGCUAGAGGAAGGAGGAAUCUAGCGCGUAACCGUCGACGGCCGCCAUGUGCAACUGAAUCCCUCGGGCAUAGACAUUGAUUGCCGUAUUUAAAUUUAUUAUUUGAUGUAAUAAAAUAGAAGUUUAUUUGAUGUAAUACGUAUAGAAAUUUUUUCGAGUUAUUUUGAUAUUAUUUGAUGUAAUAAAAUAGAAGUUUAUUUGAUAUAAUAGGCAUAGAAAUUUUUUCGAGUUAUUUUGAUAUUAUUUGAUAUAAUAAAAUAGAAGUUCUAUUUGAUGUAAUAAAAACCAUAAUUUAAUUAAAAACCCUAACCAUAACCUAACUUAAUUAAAAACCCUAACCCUAACCUAAUUUAAUUAAAACCCUAACCCUAACCUAACUUAAUUAAAAACCCUAACCCUAACCAAACUUAAUUAAAAACCCUAACCCUAACCUAACUUAAUUAAAAACCCUAGCCCUAACCUAAUUUUACAUAAUUUGAUAAUUUUACUAACCAUUAACACAAUUUUUGGACUUAAUAAUUUUACAUAAUUUGAUAAUUUUACUAACCAUUAACAAAAAUUUUUUUGGCUUAAUAAUUUUACAUAAAUUUACAUAAUGUUAGAUUUGGUAAAAUAUUUUGACUGGUACUAACAAUUAAGAAAUUAAAAUAAUUUGAUAAUUUUACUAACAAUUAAUACAAUUAUCAAUUAAUAAUUGAAUAAAAUAUAUUUUUUUCUAAAAUUACAUUCAACUAUUGCGAUUAGGGCAUGAUCGACUUGUAUGGCCUGGGUUCCUACACCAUCCGCACAACUUCUGUUGACUGGUUGUUUCUCGGAUAUCCAUAUUGUUCCGUAUUCUAGUGGAGCACGGUCGACCCUUUAGUUUGCGACGCAAUUCUCUAUCCGGUAACAGCUUAAAAAGAGCAAGAGAUACGGGCGGCCACUUACGUUCAUCUGGGACCGGUGGGAAAACGUGUCUCCAUACGUUGUACAUGUUUUCUAAUUUGUACACUUCGUCCACAUAACUCAUCGAAUCCAGACGGAGUUUCUGACAAGCUGCAAUAACAUGAGCGCAUGGAUAGCGAAGUACAUCAAACUUCCCACUGUCACAAGUCCUGUUUUGCAAGUGUACACGAUAUUGUCCGCCAACAACACCUUGGUGCGGUCUGUCAAACUCUGUCACACGAAACCAUAAAUUGUCUCGAUCGUGACACACUGUGUGCAUGAUGUUUGCCCUCGCCUUCGCCUUGUUAAUUUCUUGAACUACCUUACUGCACCAUACAUGGCCACCCUGCAUCUGGCCUGCAUAAGUUGCUGCUCGCUUUGGAAAUAGCGCCGCCAAACGGAAAUAUGUCUCUUGCACAACCGAUGUUAUCGGUAGAUGGCACGUUCCUUUAAUAACAGAAUUUAUGCAUUCUGCCAGGUUUGAUGUCAUAUGGCCAUAUCUCAGGCCUCCGUCGUAUGCUUGUACCCACUGUUCGAAACGUAUGUUACAAAGGUAGUCUGCCCCUUCUCCGUUUUGGGAUCGUAAAAUUACCAACAUCUCGUGAAAACGAUCUUUAUUUAUUUCAUACCCCGCCAAUAUAAGAUUAUAGCGAAUAUUUUAUACCACUUCUACCAAUAAAACUAAUUCAAAUUGACAAACGAAAUAAUAUAGUUAUAGACUAAAUACCCAUAUUGGUCACUUGUCGUCGUUCGCUCUUAGAUGGAUAUUGCUUGUAGUAGUUCGAAGCAGCGUAUCUUAGGCAAUAUCUAUGGUGUGUGCGCUGCCACAAGCUUCCCUGUCGAUCAAAUGUAGCAGUAUACCGGCGCCCCGAUCUGAAAUAACAUAGAUAUCAGGUUGGGGGCACACAUGCCUCCUUAACCUAGAGAGAAAGAAAUCCCAGUCAUCAGACGACUCCCCCGGUGUUAUUGCAAAUGCAAUUGGAAGAAUUUUCCCACCGCCGUCCUGUGCCACUGCAACCAAUAGCCGAUGAGUAUACCUACCGAACAUGAAGGUACCGUCAAUUUGUACCAAUGGCUUGCAGUAUGGAAAUGCGUCUCGGCAUUGCUUAAAGGUCCAAAAUAGGCGUUUGAACACUUGACAUCCACGUAGCAAUCGGCCGUUGUAGUACGCAUGUUUCGUUUCAAGGUCUGUGAUGGCACCUAGGACGUAUCUCUCUAGCACCUGACACCACUGUCAUAUUUCAUUAUAUGAGGCGUCCCACCCACUAUGCAUCUUCUCCAACGCCUUUUGCUUAGCUAUCCAAGCCUUGCGGUAAGAGGGCGUGUACCCCAUUUGGCUACGAAUAUUGGCAACUAUCACCAGCACUGAAGUCCUAGGAUCUGCUUUUAUCAUGGGCAGUAUCAAGCUAUCUAACAUAGCUGAAUCCAUUUUGGGAUGAUCUUGUGAAACACCUACAGAGGGAGUACAUUAAAUAAUGCAACAUUGCAAAAUAAAAUAAUUAUUUAGAUACAUUAAAUCAUGUACCUGCAGCACAUGUAUGUGGACCUUUGUACUUUUUAAUCUCCCACAACCUUGUCCUUUUCCUUAACGAGACGACGAUUUUCCAUGAACAUGUGCCGUCUUGCACCGCACACUUCGCCUCAAACUUAUCAGAUUUUAAUUUAACGACGUGGUCAUUAACGCCGUUUUUGAUGCUAUGCUGUUUCAAAGCACCAAUAAAACUAUCCUUGUUGGUAAACUGAUUACCAACUUCAAGUUCACCGAAAUUUACCCCCGAACUUGUACGAUCGCACAACCGGUGUGGUAGAUCUGGAAACUCUAACGCAUCAUCUGCUGACAGAUCGACAUUAUGCAUGUGGGCUGGAGGUGAGUAUGCUCUGAAUCGUGAAUUUUCUUCAUCAUCUGAACUCCUUUCAGCAUCUUCACCUUCUGUUGGAAUAGGCUCCGGUUCAGAAAAUAAUCUCACUUCUGCACCAUCCUGCCCGGGCUCUCGAGGUGGAUCCACAUCGGAGUCAUCUUCUAACCCACAAUCAUCUGCAGCGUACGACGUCCCUUCACCGGUUGACGUCGUAGGUAGUACGUCAUCCCUUCUUCUGGGCAUUUGAUAACGUUUCCAAUUAGAUGUAGAUUGCCAUCCACUAGAACUUGAUGUAGUUCCCCAGUACGUAUUUCCAGCAUCAAACGUCGAGCCACCGACAUAUAUGUCCCAUCCACCGACAGAGUGUCUUGCGGGGGAUGCAUUCGACAGCGCUACCGAACAUGGGCUGUUCUAUAUUUUGUAACCCGCUAACCGAGUGUCGGCCAGGGGUCGUGUAUACAUCUCAAACACCAGACGGAAGUACAUCAGUUGGCAACGUAAAUUGUACAUAUAACUCAAUAUAAGUUGCUCCACUAGCAAGAUGAGUCUCCACCAUUGCCUCAAAGCUACGAGCACAUUUUCUGUCGAACGAGUCAUAUGUCACCGGAUCAACACAAGAACAAAAUCGAUACGUGAUUGACAAAACUUUCAUUGGCAUCGUUCCGAAGAUUUUACGCCUAAUUCUUUUACGAAGUUCUGUCAAAUCUAUGUUCUGGUUAAAUGACAGUCACACCGUAUUCUCCGACUAAAGAACAACACCAUUCUCGGUGUGGCAAACCUCACCAUCGUAGUAAAUAACAGCACUAAUACAUUCACUCAUUUUGAAACUCUAACUUUCUUAGCCUCUCUAAAUUGUUUCUGCUAUGACUUAUGCAUUCUAAGAACAUUUUCUGCCUAAUUUAUAGCCUCAGCUCAAACUUGCUACUGCAGCAAAAUCGCGUCCACGAGGGCGUGAUUUCACAAUUUCUUCUCAAAUAGCAUCCUGGUACAAGCGAUUUUAUACUAUUUGCUCAGAAACGUCAAAAAAAAUUAUUUCUUACAUGACCUACUGUAGCAAAAUCGCGUCCACGAGGGCGCGAUUUCACAAUUUCUUCUCAAAUAGCAUCAUGGUACUAGCGAUUUUAUACUAUUUGCUCAGAAACGUAAAAAAAAUUAUUUCUUACAUGACCUACUGUAGCAAAAUCGCGUCCACGAGGGCGCGAUUUCACAAUUUCUUCUCAAAUAGCAUCCUGGUAGAAGCGAUUUUAUACUAUUUGACCAGAAACGUCAACUUAAAAUAAUUUAUUCCGGGACCUAAAAAUCCUAAAAAGCCUGAACCCUAAACCCUAAAAGCCAAAAAAACCAAACGUGAAAAAAAAGUCAAAAUCACGUCCCCCGGAAUGUGCUACGUGGCAGGACAUCGCGUCCACUUCAGCGCGACCUACUGACGUGGAAGGAAAUCACUCCCUCAAGGACGCGAUUUCCUUCCAUGUCAGCAGGUCACGCUGACGUGGACGCGAUGUCCUGACACGUACCCUGACAUCGCUCUGACGUGGACGCGAUUUCCCGAAAAAUGGACCAUUCCGGUAAAUAAUAAAAAAAUCGGUCUAUUUCGGUAAAUUUUGAAAAAAAAACGGCUUUUUUUGGUAAAUUACCCAAAAAUAUAAGCAAUUUUACAAUAUUCGUGGUGGGAACAUAUCCCAUCACCAACUUUUCAUAACUUCUUUUUCCCAUUUUAUAAAAUGUCUAUAGAUUAAGUACUGGCUCUUCAAUUUUCUAAGUAUUCAUUGUCUUACCCCUUUCUUGGGUUUGGUUUGGGAAGGUUGCUUGACUUCGUUGUGCAAUUUAAAGUCUUUCCAAUUUGUCGUUUUAGAAGUGAUCGGAAAAUUUGCACUUCUUCAUGUACUAGAAGAAAAGUGAUUGGGUUCAAAGAAUAAAAACAGGGAUAGAUUAUUUACAUAGUUUAGUUUUUCUAUUCCUACAGAGCCUACGUUAUGAGGAAUAGUUUAGUUUAUGUUGUAGUUUCUUCCUGCAAGAUUACAAAUUUUUUUAAUGUGAUUUACGUAGAAACUACGAAAUUUAUUAUAGGAUGUGAUAAUAUAAUUCUAUAAUUAUUGCUUAAAUUUUUUCUUUCUAAAUUUCAUAUUUCUUAAGAAAUUACAGUAAUAAAUUUUACAUAGAAAUAAUAUGUAGUAUUGAAAUUAAAUUGCAGUUGUACAAAGGUUACAACUUUUUUAUUAAAUUAUUAAAAUUAUUAGAGAACAUGAUAAAAUUAAAUGAGAACCUUUUUAUCAAAGUGACAAGUGAGCAGUCGCUUUGAAGAAUAUAAAUAACCCUUCCGCUUGCUUAAUUUGUGUUUCUAUUGACUAAAAAAAUUUUGAACAAAAAGGAUAUUGACUAAAAAUUAAAAUAACCAUGAAAUCUUUUACAACAUUCAACGAGGUUGAAAGAUUUUAUUUUUAAUUUUUUUUAAAUAAUAACUUAUUUGGCUUCUAAUUUUAUAAAAAAAUUAUUUUUUAUUCCUUAAAACUUAUAUUAUUUAUCAACAUUGGCUUACUCCUUCGUUGGGUUUGGUUUGGGACGGCUGCUUGACUUCGUUGUGCAAUCUAAAGUCUUUCCACUUUGUCGUUUUAAAAGUCUGCAUAUCGGAGAAUAUCACAAUUGAGAAAGAAUUAUAUAUUGCUGUGAAACUGAACGUAGUUGCUAAUAUAUACGUUAAGUGAUUAAAAACUUGGCACCUCUUCAAGUGCGGGAAGAAGUGAUUGCGAAGUUGACACUUUUUCUAAGUUAUUAAAAAAAAUAAAUAGGAGACACAUAUUGUUUACUUAGUUUGGUUUCUUACGUUUGCGGAUCUUAGUUUAGUGAAAAAUAUCUACUAUCUCCAACAUUUAUAAUGAGUGAUCUUAAAUCUAUCACAACUCACUACAAUUUCCUCACUUUUGUACUUUUGAAAAUCGGUACUUUCAUCACUAAAUUCACUCCUGUGAACUUAAUUUAUAAAAUCACAACACACAAGUUUUACAAUCAAAUGCACUCUUACAAACAAUAUUCUUCGCUUAAACAGACCAAGUUCUCUCAAUUCUCUAUACAAUCACCUAUACAAGUCUCUCAAUUAUAAAUAGAUUUCGAGAUUUACUAACAUAAUGAAAAUCUAUAUCAAUCUCUAUUAAACAACAACUAAACUAGUUGAAUAAAUUAUAAUAAUAAAUAAGGUAAACAAGGAUUGUUGGCAGCUAAGUCUUCUACGUUCCAAUUCGAUUCAACUUUCUCGAUCCAAGCGAUUAGAUAUACAUGGUCCGAUCCAAUCCGAUCCCUUAAACAUGUUUCCUGAAGUGAUAUGAUCUGUAACACCCCAAACCCAGCCUAACGUUAUAUAUGGUCUAACAUAUAAUAAAAUUUAUUAUUUAUAAAAUAAACUAAAAAUAAAAAGAGAGAAAAGUUUGAAUAUGGUUUAAAUAUUGUUUGUGAGGUUUUUUUAAAAAAUAUUUUAUUUAUAAAAAUAUUAUUUUAAGAAAUAAAUGUUAUGUUAGAAAGAAGAGAAAAUGGGUAUUCAUGUGUAUUUAUAAUUGUGUUAUGUAUUGUUAUAAAAAUUUAUGUGUUUUUAUAAAAAAAAAACUUUUACAUAUUUUGAAUUUUUAAGAAGUAAAACUACAUUGACAAAAUGUAUAAAAUUGAGAGCUAAAUUUGUUGAUUUUUUAGAGUUAAAGCUAAAUUGAUAGAAUCUGUCAACAUUAGAGGGUUAAAUUUGUUAUUAUAUUAAUAAAAAAUGCCACCGUUAAUGAUUUAACAGAGGAACAACAAAAAUAUUAAAAUUUGAUAAUAUUAAUGAAUGAAAUAAAAAUUUUUAAACUUAAAUGACCAAAAUAGAAACACACUAAUAAUUAGAUAAACUAUUUUUUUUACUUUUCCCUAGAUUUAAUAAUGUUACCCGAUUUUCCAUGAUUCCUCCAUUUUCUUACCCCUUUCUUGGGGUUGGGACCCGGCUUCACUUUAUUUGUGCAAUCUAAAGGCCUUUCAACUAUGUCAACAAUUGCUUAUGAACUUAUAAUGCGAAACCUUAAGCAAUUGGACAACGAAGCUAUCACUUUUCUUCUUCAAGGAUAAUUAAGAUGGGUCCGGCAUGGUCACUAAAUUUCCAUCACUUUUUGGCCAUUUUCUUUUCUAUGUUUUGCACAUUUUUAAAUCUCUAUACAUUCAAUAAUGCUCCCCAAUUGAAGGUUCUUCUUUUUCAAACCUCGUCUUUUACUCGACUUUGUUGUGCAAUUUAAAGUCUUUCAGCUUUGUUGUUUGGGUAACUUAUAAAAAUAGUCACUUAAUUUUAGUUAAAUUUAUUUUCUCACUGAAUUAUAAAAAAAUUACAUUUUAGUCACUAACAGUAUCGAGUUAUAACGUUUUGGUCACUCAUCCAUUAACCGCCAUUUUAUCCUUAAGGAAAAGUGCCGUUAACUCAAGGGUUAAUAUUUAAUUUGACCUUUGAACUAUAGUUAAAACAUUCAACUUGGUCAUAAUUUAUUAAAAAAUAUUAAAAAUAAAAAAUUUAAAAAUUUAUUUAUUGUUUGAUACUAUAAAAAAUAUAUAUUUUGAAAUUGUAAUUAUGUAAUGUUUUAAAAAACCAUAGAAUCCUUUAAAUUUAAAUUAUAUUAGAAAUCCUAUCACAGUUGUGCACAUGUGGCAAUCAUGAAUUUAGAACAUAGAUUUGUGUUUAAAAAUGAAAUCCAAUAAAUAAUGAAAUCGUAUAGUUUGAAACUAAUUAAUCAUAAUAACACAUGAAAUAUGUAUGAUAUUAAAGUUAAAAAAUUAGAUUAAAUUGUGAGUAAAACUAAACUUAAACAUAUAAAUACAUUAAAUUAACAAUACUAAACCAACUCAACUAAUAACAUUAUUAAUAUAUACAAUGGAUGAAGUGUGCAUAAUAAAAUUAAAUUGUAUAUGAAAAAAUCAAAAUAAAACUUUGGUUGAGUGGUUAAUUUAGGGUUUUGCUAAUGUGAUUGACGUAGAUAUUAUAAUAUGUAUAUUUUUUAUUUUUUUAAGAAAGUAAAAGAUUAAAGUACCCCCGAAUAAUAUAAUUUAUUUAAUUACAAAAGAACAUUUCCAUAAUUUCUCUAACCGAGUUGAUGCUCGUCUAACUCGUAAUAUCAACUCAAUCAAAGACUUAAAAUAAUGGUAUAGAUAAAAAUGUAGAUUGAGUCAUGGUUAUCUGAACCUAUUGAACUGGCAAUGAUACCAGUCUGGAGAGAGGCAUUAGAUCAGUUCACUCGCAAACCAGUACAGACCAAUAUUAGAACUAGACUAAAAAACUGAUUGAAUCGUUUUUUUAAUAUUUUAAUAAUUUGUAAUCCAACUAUACAAACCAAUAUUUCAACCACCAUUUUAGUUCUAAAAACUUUGCUUAAAGUAUAUUUAAUUUUUAAUUAUUUACUUUAUAAUUCUACACAAAUACAUAAUUACCGCAGCUUCAGAACAGACGAGGACUAAGAAAAAGAAUCAGCUAAUUUUACUGAUUGCAAUUCUAUGAGUAACGCAGCAAACUUAGCUUUCUUUAAUUUCGUCUCACACUAAUAAUUUGUAUCUAUGAUUUAACUUGGACAAGAUCUUUAUCAAGUUGUUUUUUAUGCAAUUGACUAAUAAAAUUCCAUAUUGAGCCAUCGAAUUUACGAGAAAUGGAUACAACAAUGACUUCAAAAUAAAUUGGACUUUUUAUUUUGCAAUUCACUUUUAUAGUUUCAAUAAUGGCCAACCAAUUUUCCAUGACUUUUAUAGCUUGACUUAAGUUGUGCAAUCUAAAGUCUUUUUCUAAACCGUGAGAACAGAAGAAAACAUAUGAGCAGCCAUUGUUGAAGUCCCAUGUUCGGCCAAGCUUCUCAUUUUACACGGUGAGUAAUUUUAAUCUCGUUUUUCAUGAAUUUUAUAUUUUUGAGAUUAUUGUAAUUUUAAUCUAGUUUAGCUAACUCAAGUGUUAAUUUUUGAAACUGUUAAAAUUUCUAAAUGUUACUAUUGAUGAAUGAUUGAUGAAAUUAGUAUUAAUUGAUUAGAUUUUUCUGCUUAGAUAUGAAAAAGGCUUAAUUAUCAAUUAUCAAUUCCAAAUAAAAAAUAUUAUUGAUAUUUUCUAUUAUGAAAACCCAUUCUCAAUGUGUUGAAUCGUUGAACAAGUAAUUUUUACUUCUAUUGUGGCAAAUUCAAUGGAGGGAGUUAUCUUCUUAUUUCUACCAUAAAAAGUUUCUCAAUAAAUUUCAUUGGGUGAAAAUUUUGAGUUAGAUUAGAGUGCUUCAAAAUCUCAUGGCAAUUAACAAAUUACGUGAAUGUGUGUGAAAAUAGGAAGGAUAUUAGUAGUUCACCUCUAAUUGCUUAGGCAUGAUACUCGUUGUGAAAAUAGGAAGUUUCUCAACAAUUCCCAUGAUACUUGUUGGAUAACUCGAUCAUCUUUUUUACAGGAUGUAAACUUUUCUAAAUGAUAAGGAAAGGAAAAGAAAACUUAGGCAAUUCAAUUUAAGUAGUUCACAUUUAAUUGCCUACCUCCACUUAGUAUCCUUUAAUCAAAUAAUUUCUCAAAUUACUAUAAGAAUUUGUACCUUUCGAGGAGAAGGUAUAACAUUUACAGCACUAUCUUUUUCUUAAGGCUUAGAUAUAACCUUUCCCUCUAGCUUUUAUAGUUGUUGUAUAGUCGUCGUUGGCAAGUCAUGUCUCGAGACAAUUUAUCAAUUGUCUUUAGACACACUGCACUAUAUCUCAAGACAAGUAGCUCCUAUCAAUUGGUACAAGCCAGUAUGAACUAGUAUAAGUUAGUAUUGACUGAAACGAGCUUAAACAUACUGGAAUUGUCAAAACACAUCAAAAUCUUAACCAUAAUGAAGCCUAUACUAUUUAGUAUUGGUUGAAGACCAGAAAGAUACGCAUCGAGUGUGUUAAAUGUUGAUGUCCUUUUUAUGUACUGUUUAUAUUUUUGUUCUUUUAAUAAUAUUUGUUUGGCUUAUAAAAAUUAUUUUUAUUAAAAUAAAAUAAAUGAAAAGCUUAUGCAAAGACUAAAAAAAGAUAUCAAAAUUUGCUAUGUUUUGAUAUUGGGCAUUUAAUAAUUUGUACCUAUAUUUAAAAAAAAAUUGUACCAAUACAAUUUCAUAAAAUUAGUACAAAUGGUCAUCAAAAUUCAGCGUAACUUCCUAAAUAUAUUGCUAAUUGAUAUAAUUGAGAACGGUUAUGCGGUUGAUAAUAAUCUUUUUGAACUUCGUUUAGUACAUGAUUUAUGCAAGUAAUAUUGGCAACUUAAGUUUCGGCAUGUCCUGCGAGAACAUAAGAGACUGACAGAUUGCAUGACCAAAGUUGUUCUUAGUAAUCUUAAUAGGUUAACAACUUUUGAAGACCCAGCUAAUCAUGCUCGAUCUUUGUUAGAAGAAGAUGCUCAUCGAGCAAUGAUUAAUAUAGACUCUCAUCAACCUAAUUGUAGCUAAUUCCUUGAACUUGUUUCUUUUUUAAAAAAAUUCACAAAAUGCAGAAAUAACUAUUAAUAAACUUUUUAGGAAAACAGAGCAUCUGUAUAAAUAUUUAUCAAAGACAUUGCUAGAAAGCAAAGCUUAUGUUUAUUUUAGUCAAUUUAACAAUGGCCACUUCAUCGAACGCGUUGCAUAUCCCUUGAUAACUUUACUUUGAUCUUCUUUAACUUUGUAACAACCUCUUUCAUAUGAAGCCUCUCAUUUGGUAACUCUGCAGAACAUUCUAAGCCAACUUGCAAAAUGGAUAAGGCACAAUUCUUGACUUUUAAAUGUUCCCUUCCAAUGGUGCUCAACAACUUGGGAUCUACAACUUGAUUUCGCGAAGAUGAUAUCGACUCUAUCACCCAACUCUUCAAGCUUCUUUCUCCUUCAAACAUUUCAUCUGUGGGCUUUUUUCUUGUGAUGAUUUCCAUCAAAAGAAUACCAAAGCUAUACACAUCACCUUUUGUCGAAACAAUUCCUUCGAUUCCAUAUUCUGUGUAUGAAUAUAAAAACAACAUUAUGAAUAUUCAAAGAUAUCUUGAUAAUGAAAAAUCCGUAUAAAAUGUACGAAACAUUAUAUGCUUGCAUGUUAUAAUUGAACUGGGAUUUAAUCUAGUUGCUUCCUUAAAAAGUCACAUUUAAUAUGUUUGAAACUCAAAUCUUAACAUAUAUGAUCCCUUUUGUUAUGCACAUGCUACGCUUACAUUGAAAAUGGAAAAAUAAACAUGGAGUUUGAUUAGAAGUAUCACCUGGUGCCAUAUAUCCAAAUGUUGCCAUUGUCAUGGUUUGUAUCAUUGAAACCUCUUCACGUAAGAGUUUCGCGAUGCCAAAAUCACUCAAAUGAGCAACCAUAUCUUCAUCUAAUAGAACAUUGUUGGGUUUUAAAUCACAGUGAACCACGGGUGUUGCAUUUUCAUGGUGGAGAUAUUCCAAUGCAGAUGCAACAUCUAUCAUUAUGUUCAACCUUUGUAAGAUAUCCAAAUAUUGGUUGUUGGAAUACAACCAUUUAUCAAGACUCCUAUUAGGCAUGAACUCAAGCACCAACGCUUUGAAAUUAAGAUCAUUAGAGCAACUGCUUAUUACUUUGACUAAAUUUCUGUGACGAGUGUUGCAGAGAACAUCACAUUCAACAUCAAAGCUCUUAAAAGCUCCUUCUAACUCUAACUUGAAGACCUUUACCGCAAUUACCGUCCCAUCCUGGAGAGUCCUUUGGAAUAGUGAACCAUAACUUCCAUUACCAAGCAACCUACUAUCAUUGAAUCCAUCAGUAGCUUGACGAAGCUCGUGGUAUGAAAACCGUCUCCACGUUCCUAAAGGUAUCAUGUCUUCUUGAGUUGGCAAUUUGUCUUUCCUCCUAUUUUACAAGAUAAUGAUUAUCAGAGCCACAACCAAAAUUGUGGAGGCAAUUGGCAGAGCUACAUAUAUUAUGAGCUUCAGCUUAGUUUUUGCCUUGGAAUUUCUAAGAGGUCUUGUUUUGCAGUUUGGAACAUGAAGUCGAGUUGCACCACACAAGGCUUCAUUACCCUUAAAUGAUUCGAUUGUGUAGUUUCCAAAUGAUCCUCCUUCAGGAAUUUUUCCUUCAAGUCUAUUAAAAGAGACAUUGAAAUAUUUGAGAUAACGGAGUUUCUUUAAGGAUUUGGGAAUCUCUCCAGAUAGAUUAUUUCUUGACAAGUCCAAGAAUUCCAAACUCAACAAUUCAUCAAAAGACUCAGGAAUAGAACCCAUGAUUCUAUUAUUGGAAAAGGAAAAAUGAGUGAGGUCCUUGAGAUCUGCAACUCCAGUUGGGAUAUCACCUGAGAACUGAUUGUUCGACAAAUCCAAACUAGUCAAAACUUUCCAUUUUCCAAUGUCAGUUGGCAGUGGACCACUUAGAGAAUUUGAAGACAAGUAUAGGAUGAGGAGAUAGUUAAGCCUUGUCAACGUGGAAGGUAUUGAGGAGGAAAACUUAUUGGAGUCUAGAAAUAGUUGCCUUAAUGAAGUGAGAUCACCUAAGCAAGCAGGUAUUGGUCCAGACAAUUUGUUAUUGGUCAAGAACAAGAAAGCCAAUUUGUUGAGAAGACAUAACUGAGAUGGGAUGGAUCCUUCUAACUUAUUGUCUUUAAGAGAAAGACUUUGCAACUCUUCCAAUCCACCAAUUGUAGUAGGAAUCUGUCCUAUCAAUUUAUUGCCUCCGAGAUCAAUGCUUAUCAAGUGACUUAAGUUUCCAAUUUCAUUGGGGAUGCUACCCCUGAUGUUGCAUGAAUAUGCAGAGAACUCUUCAAGAGAACUUGAGACAUUUCCUACCACUCUUGGAAGUUCACCACUAAUAAAUGGGUUGCUAUCGAAAGGAAAGUUCUCCAAGCCUCUACAGUUUGUCAAAGAAAAGAGAAAGCUCAUUCCUGAGGAAGUUAAAUUAUUACUCGCCAGGUUGACAAACUUUAAAUUUCUUAGAUUGCCUAGAUUAUCAGGAAUGGACCCUGAAAAGUAAUUAUUAGACAUGUCAAGAACAGUAAGCUGAGAGGCAUUGGAAAUAUACAUUGGGAUCGAGCCGACAAGGUGAUUGCUAGCAAGAUAUAAUUGCUCCAUGUUUGGAAGGAAAAGGCCCAUGUUUGAUGGAAGAUGGCCAGAGAGCUGAUUU